rnacentral:lncRNA from 1 species
AUAUCUUCCUCUUGAUAAGAAACACCAAUCUUUUUUUCCAAUUCUGACGGCUUCAUCAUACAAAGUACUUAUAUUUUGGAUUAAUAAAGAUAGAAAGUAAAUAUAAUUUUAGGUCCAAUCAUAAAAUGCAGAGUCUCUUGGAUCAUGCUAUCUAAUAAACUUUAAUGAACUUUAUAUUUUUCAUGUGUCUUAGCACAAAUGAACUCCAUAAUUUUCAAGUGUCUUAGCACAAAGGUCAUAUCUCCGCCUUCAUUUUUGUCUUGCAACUUUAUUAAGGUUUCUUAGGUUUUUUUAUCACUACCAAUUUUAUAGAAAUUCACAACAACAAAAUUAUCGUUAUAUAAAACAUAAAAAAUCCAAAUAAGUAAUAACAAUUAAAAAUAUUAAAAAUAUAAUAAUAUUUUACAACGAUAUUUUUAUUCGUUACAAUUGUAGUUGCUAAUAAUACAUUUUCUAAUAGAGUUCUUUGUUUUCCUUUCAAAGUCCGUAUGCUUUUUUUUUCUUCUUCUUCCUUCAUGUUUGAAGACUUCUAGCGGAUGCCAAGUGCCUUGUGCUUUUGGCUUUUACACAAUUGAAAUUGUGUUUCACUUUCCAACAAAACUGUCAAGUCUCUAUUACAGAAACAGUGACCCAACUACUUGCGAGGUCAAUAAUGGGUUAAAGGAUCGAUGGAUUAAGUAUACAUAAUGUUAUAGGUGAAAAAAUCGUUGGUUUUCUUAGUAGGGUUCGAAUUAUCAAAUGAAUUAUUGUGAACACUUAAUUUUGUCUGAUGUCAUUUGAAAUUGUUUUGAGUCCCAAUUGUGGUGAGCUAUGAACUAGUCCAUUUCUUGGUGGAGUUGUUUAUGAUUUGAAUAUUUUAAAUCAAAGGCUUAAUGAGUUAAUUUUGGUUUAGUUUAUCGUAUUGGAUUUUGAAAAAUAAAUCAAAUAAAUAAAUUUAAAAUUUUAGAAAUAAAUCUCAAGUGAAGGAGAGUUUUUGGACUUGAAAUGGCUCCGGCCGAUGGUGUUUGGCAACGACUUGUGAAGGCUGACGUGGUGCUCGCUAGUUGAAAUCUGAAAAACUAGGUUGAAAGAUCAUUUGAGAUGUAAAAGAGAGGGAGGAUAAUAAAAUUAGAGAGAGAAGCUAGCCAAAAGAAAUGAAAGAAGAAGACAAAAUUUAGCUUUUAUAGCAGCAUGAAACACUAUAUUUCAAUUAAGUAAAGAAGAUCCAUGCCUCAACCCGGAUUUGGAUGGGGAGCUCGCGCUUGAAACCCAAACCUGUAAAUUCAACACUAAGCCGCACCACUGAGUCAAGCCAAGAUUUUAGCCUUUCCAAGCUAGUUUCUGUUCCUUCAACUGAGUCAUUUUCUAAUCCUCGUCAAGCCGAAUUUUUUUUUGUAUAUUUUUUUAUUUAUUUUGUUUUAUUUGUUUAUUUUUGAAAUAUUAUACAUGUUUAAAUUUUUAGGAAAAAUUAGAAGAACUAAUUAUAAAAAUAUAUAAAAUAAAACUUUAAUAAAAUUUUAAAAAUAAAUAAUAAUUAUCCAAUUAUUAGAUUAUUAGAAAUUACAAAUGGUUAAUUUCUAAAAAAUUUUCAGGCAAGAAAUUUUUCUCUAAAUUUUACCCAAAUUAAAAAAAAAAUUAGGUAAAAUUUCAAUAACAAUAAUUAAUAUUUAUUUUCAAAUUACAAAAGAAAUAUAAAUAAAUUUAAUAAAAUUUUAAGGAAUGAAUUAACAAUUAUUCAAAAGAUGAAAUUCUUAAAAAUUUUAAAUGGUAAAUUUUCUAAAAAAUCUUUAGGUGAGGAAUUUAUCUAAAUUUAACCCAAACAGUGAAAUAAUUUUAAUGAAAUUUCAAUAAAAGUAAUUGUACUCUUCUCCAAACUAAGAAGUAAAACCAUAAAAUUUUGUUUGAAAAUAAAUUCCAAUGAUGAAAUUCUUAAUAAUUGCAAAUGGAUGAUAAUCUAAGACAUUUUUAGGUGAAAAAAUAUUUCUAAUUUUGGUCCAAAUGAUGAAAAAAUUAGACAUAUUUUCAAUAAAAUGAAAAUUUAACAAAAAAUAAAUGAUUAAGUUUUUCUGACGACGGAGCAUUUUCAAAAAAAUAAAUAAGAUUUUUAAAUACUCUAGAGGUAAUGAAAUAUUUUUAAGAAUUCUAUCAAAUUAAUAAAAAAUUUUAAAAGUUACUUUCAAUAUUAAAUUUAAGACUAUUAGAACUAUAAAAUUUUAAGAUAAUUUAUAAUUAAAUGGGCAUAUAUUAUAGAAGUGCUAUAAUCUUCUUUACAUUUAACUGAACUUUUAAAUCUAGUUCUGUUAAGAAGAUUAGAACCUAUUUUUUAAAGAUUGAUAAUCAAGUUUAGGAUUGGUGGUCAAUCAAACUUUAAUAAAAAAUUGAUAAAGAUUUUUUAAAUUAUAUUUAAUUAUAAAUUUACGAAUUUAUACGUUAUGACAAAAAUAAAAUAUAUAAAAAUAGAAAGUUCAAAAAGUAAAGACCUUCCAAAGUGAGAGUGUUUGGUCCCAUUUGAUAGAAAAUAUAAUAAAUAUAUGUGACAUUCUUUAUAUGCAUGUGAUGCAUAUGCUACAUAUUAAAUGGAGAGUUGGUUAGGGAGCAGUCUUUUCGGAAACUGGCCUACGACAUUGAACCGUUAAGGAAUCAUGAGGGCUAUGACUUGUCUUCUGAACUGGUCAACUAGUUCAAUCAUUUUCAUUGCCUAAUCAAUGAUAAUUAUUAAAAUCUAGUGGAGUAUGUGUGUUCUUUUUUAAUUAGAACAUGUUCUGAAUAUGUAUUAGCAAUUUGACAAUAUUUGUUUUUCUUUACGAAGAAGAUAGCAACUAUAAGAAUAAGAGAAGGAAUGCAAGUAUGAGAAUUUGAAUAUCAGAUCUGUUCAAUGUCUUCUUUUAAUGAUACAAUUGAAUGAAUCAACUCAAUUAAACUUUGAGUUUGAAAACAUUAGGUUUGAUUAGUAUGAUGGUUUAAUAAUAAACUAAUUGAUUAGUUUGAGGUGAAAAUUCAAAAGAAGAUAAUCAAUUAUUGGUUUAAAUUGGCUAUUUUGAUAUUGGUUUUACAAUCACUUGUUAGGAAGGCAUAAUAUAUCCUAGGUCAUGUCUGCAAGAUAUAUAACUAAUUCAUAGACAAACAAUUCUAACAUAGAUUAAGCGCAUUCGACUUGAGUUUCAAUAUAUAUCUACCAUAAUAUAUAUAUAUAUAUGUAUGCCUUUUCCCUAAUGAGACACUCUAAUAAUUAGAACUUGAUACAUAUAUUAAAAGUUUAAUUAGAUCUUGGGAGAGUUUAUAAAAUAGGAUAUAUAAUUAAAGCUACCUUUCUUUGUUUAACUCAAGUCGCUUGUCUUCAACAUAUCUUUAAAAGUAUUUGAGUAUAUAAUUGUAAAUCUCUUAAUUAUUAAAAAAAUUUUUAAGUUUGUGACACGAAUAAAAUUAUAUCACCUCAAUCGAGGAAUUAAUAAAGAAAUCAGUUAAAAAAUUUUAAAAUAUAUUUACUAAUAAAGCUAUAAUAAUAAUUUGAAUUUCUAAGGAAGGAAUUCAAAUUUUAAAAAAUAAUUCAUCAUGUUUAUGCUCUAUUUUGGAAAUUGUUUAUUCCAUCAUUUUCUCUUUAAUUAUUCCAUUUUAAGAUAACUAUAAACUUUUUCCUUUAUUCUUUUAAUAUUUAUCUAACUAUGUUUCACAAUUGGAUGUGUUAUAUGACCAAAAUUAAAUAGAUCAUUGACUUUUGAAAUGCUUGUAUACACUCUAUGGAAUCGAUUAUGAAUCCAUUGACUUUGUAGAUUCAGUGUUAACGUUGGAGAUAAACUCUGUCAUAUCAAGAAAAGAUUGAUAUAUCAUAUCAACAUUGGCUUUCAAUGUUUUUAAUGUCAGACGUAUAAGUCAACAUCCGUUAGCACAGAGUUCCAAAAAUUUCUGUUUCAUUCUUUCUGAGAUGCCAAUUUCUUCAGUUUGUCUGCUACUAUUUCUAGCUAACCAUGAAACUUUCCGAUCUUUCUUUUCUUUCUAUCUUCACUAAGAUAUGUAACCAUUGCUUUGUUAGCUUUUCCUUCAUUGAUAAAUUAAUGCAUUUAAUCCGUGUCCUUUACCUUCCUGCUUUUUACUCCCACUGCUGAAAGAAUGAAAUAGAGCAAAAACAAAAAAAGGAUGAGAGUUUUCUCCUCCCAGCAGCUGUUGUAUUGGCAGCAGUAAUUGUAAUUUGCAUCCUCAAUGGACCUAACUUCAGUCUUAUAAUAUUUAAAAGCGGUAAAAUUUAAAUCGAAUUAGAUUUGAUUUAAAUUUUUUAAAUAAUAUUUAAUAUUAUAAAUUUUUUAAAUUCAUUUCAAAUUUGAAUAUAUAUAUAUAUUUGAAAUUAAUUUAUUCGAAUUGAAUUUUAUCGGUUUAGUUCAAUAUGAUUAAUCAAUUUUUAAAUUUAAUUUUUUGUUUUUUAUAUAUUAUUUUAAUAUAAUUUUUAAUAUAUUUAAAUAAAUUUAUAUAUAAAAUAAUUAAUUUUUUUAUAAAAUUUAAAAUAUAUAUAAAUUAAUAAAAAUAUAUAAUUUGGUUUGAUUUAAUUUUUUUUUAUUUUUUACAUCUCAAUUAAGAAUUUGAUUUGAAUUUAAUAUAUAUAUUUAAUAUUUAAAUUUAAUUUAAUCAAAUAAAACAAUCCUAACUAAAUUAAAUACCAUAGUUUUAAAUUAGAUUUUCAUUUUUUUUAACCCUUAAGAAUAAGCAAGUGAAGCAAAAAACGCUUUUAGUUCAAUUACCACCUAAAUCAUCACGUCACAUCGUUACAGUAGUGAGCCCUCCCCUCCCCACCGCCAGUCUCCAUCCAUCAUUUUUCUUUUAUUUCUGAGCAGUGCUCUUUAUCUUAUCCACCUCGUGCUAUAACACCGCCAUCAUUCACAAUAUACUAAUAUUUCUUAUUCUUCUAUCUUUGUGGGUAUUGGUUGAAUUAUUUGAUUCCCUACCAACAUCAAUGGAUUGAGAAUUUUUUUUAAAAUGUUCACAUCUAAUAUAUAUAUAUAUAUAUAUAUAAAUUAGUUGAUAAAUUUAUUAAUUUUAUAAAAAAUAUAUAUAUUCGAAAAAAUUUAAAUGUUUAGUAAAAAAAAUUUCUUUAAAUUUUCUUAUUUUUUUAUUUUUUGGAUGUCUACAUGAAAAUUCUGGAAGUAUCCAAUAAUUUAUUUUUUCAAAUUUUUAAAUUUUUAAUUUUUGAGAUAUACAUAGAUACUCUAAUUUAUAAGGUGGAUCCACCUAUGAUAAUAUGUAAUAUUGUGGAUAGGACAAACCCUUUAUUGCCCAAACUUUUAAUAUUAAUUUAAGAGUUCAUAUUUGAUGUAUUAUCAAUAUAUAUAUGCUAUACAUGAUCGAAACAUCACACAAUGAUAUCUCAUAAAAAAUUUAAUUUUAAAAUUUUAAAAUAUUAAAAAAUACUCUUAAUCUUAAAUAUAUAUUAAAAUUUUUGUAUGACGUAACAUUGUGUGAUUUAUUGAUAAUGUAUAUUAUUUAUAUGCUAAUAGAUCUACUACUUGCUUUCUUUGCUUGAGUAAGUUCAUGCAAUAAAUAUUACUGCUAUAAUAGUUUGUUUGAAACUUGAAUCAGUUCUCUUCCAUUUUUGUAUGAUUGCAAUCUAUAGUUGGUCACAGCUUUUCUGAUUAGCUACAAACAUCAAUUUCUUUUCUAAUCAAAAAGCCAAAGUUUUCCUUCUUCUCUUUUAGGGCUUUGAAGAUUUCUAUCCCUUGCUCUCAUGGGAAGCAAUCUAGAUCCCUUUCUUUGCCUUCUUUUUGUCUUAGAUUUUCAUUAUAAAAAGGAUAUUGGAACGGUCUUUCGUGCUUCGCUAGGCCUUUCCUUCAUUGCUAACACAAAACAAUGUUGCUCUCUAGUUUUGACUAUCGUAAUUCAGUUCUUAAAAGUUAUUACUUUUACUAACGACCGUGAGACACACGUUCGAAUGCAGCAAAUAUAGCCUAGAUGCUGCGGUUCAAUAAAGUUCGGUUUGGAAAAAAAUGUAUAUUUAAAAAGUAUGGUGAAAAUUUGAGGUAUGAGAUUUUUAAUAUUUGUUAUUAUUGAGAAAAAAAUCAUAUUUAAAAGCAUAAAUAAGCCAUUUUUAAUUUUAUUUAAUUAAAUUAUAUCAAGAUGUAUAAAAAAUAAUUGUAAGACUUUAAUUUUAAAAAUUAUACAAAAAUACAAGUUUUAAAUUUUCUUGAAAAGAUUAAAUAUCUUCAAGCUAGAAAAUAGAUAGUUAUAUUCCCUCUAUAUAAGUAAUUCAAAAUAUAUUAAUAUAUCAAAAGAUGAGAAUGCUAUAUAUUUAAAAAUAAUUUUAAAAAAAGAAAACUUUAAUAAAAAAUGAAAAAAAUAAUUAGGGAAUAAUUUUUUUUCAUAAUUACAAAAUAAGGAGGGUAUUUAAUAACUUCCCUUCAAACAUAGUUUGCAAAUCACAAAAACAGCUCCCUCCCAAACCAUGCCAUGUUUGUCAUUACGUUAGUAGUCAAAACCUGUGUUUUGAAAGUCAAACACAAUGCAAAACGAUAUCUAAAUAACAUAAAACUUUUAUUAAUGUUGAUUUAAUUAUAUUGCAUUGGAUUUUAAUAACGUUGAUUUAAUUAAUUAUUUCCGUGAGAAUAAAUACAUCAUAAUUAGUAGUACAUGAAACUUUUAUUAAUUUUCAAUAAUGUUGAUUUAAUUAAAUUCAAUUGAAUUUUAAUAAUGUUGAUUUCAUUUUUUCCGUGAGAAUGAAUCCAUCAUGAUUAAUAGUGCAUGAUGUUGCUGAUAGCUUUGCUAAAUUAAGAGUGAAUAGAUCCAAAAUCUUAGAAUGGUAAAGUUAGAUGUUGGUUCAUUCUUUUCAGAUGUAUAUUUUUUUUAGUAAGAUAUGCUACUCGAUGUUUUGCUAUUCUGGUCAUUGUUUUGUAUCUGAGUUAUUUAUCAAUGAAAAUUUCUGCCUUUCAACAAAAAAAAAAAUAGUGCAUGAGUCUUUCACUAUGUUGUUCCUUCCUUCCUUUGUUCCUUUCCUUUCUCUUACAUUUUUUAAACCUAGAUAAACAAGUAACAAAAUAUAUAAUUGAGUAUUCAUGAAUUAUGAAUUUGUUAAUGCAUUUUUUUACAUUAAAGUGAUAUAUAUAUAUAUGUGUGUGUGUUUAUAUAUAUGUGUGUGUAUGUGUGUGCAUGUAAAAAAUUAUCUCAUACAUUGUCAAUAAAAUUAGUUAGAGGAUUGACACACGAUCAUUUAAGAUAUGUUUAAAAAAUCAAAAGAUUAAAAUAAUAAAAAAAUAAAACAUGCAUGACAAUUUUUAACUCAACCUAUGAAGUUUUUUUACUCAACAGAGCAGUAUAUAAAUAUAAAUAUAUAUAUAUAUUUAUUAAGGAAUAUUAUCUAUUUUCUAUUGCUUUAUUUAGCUUUGUGAUUUUGUGAAGAAUAUAAAUUGGAACUGUUUGACUCAUCAAAACAAUUUGAUUCAAAUCUGCAUGAAUUUUACUCCUAGUUGACCCAAAAUGUUAAAGUCAGAAAUCUCAUAUAUAUAACUGAAGCUGGAUAUAUUGAUUCAAAAAUUGAAGGACAAUAUAUAUGCAUGUGUUUAUUAGUUUUACAUGCUUAUUUAUAUGUAGAGUCCAUGUGAAUUUGGGUUUUUCUGCAUGAAUUCAGAACUUGUUUUUUUGUUGGAUGCAGCAUAAGAUCAACAAUAGAGAGGUACAAGAAGGCAUGUUCAGAUAGUUCAAACACAAACACUGUUACUGAAAUCAAUGCUCAGGUAAUUAAUUUAUUGUCAUGAAGCAUGCAUGAAUUUGCAUGGCAAGAUUGAUGACCAUUUUCCACAAAUUUGUUCAACCAAUGAAUCUUACUUUUUCUUGCUAUUUUGAUUCAUUGAACUGGCUGUAGUAUUAUCAGCAAGAAUCGGCCAAAUUGAGACAGCAGAUACAAAUGCUACAGAAUUCUAACAGGUAAUUAAUAUCCUUGAACAAUGAUGAUAUGAACAAAGAAAAAAAAAAGGUAGCUAGCAAUGCCAGCUUAAAAAUUCCGGGGCACUAAGCAAUUAUAGAUAACAAAGCUUGCUUUUCAAAAAUAAAACUUGAAUUUAUAAAUGAAGAUUGAAGAUCUAUAAAUUAAACUCUAUUGCCCAAUUAUAGCAUUUUCUCCCAUAAUUUCCUGCAUUUAAGAAUUUCUUUUAAGAAAAGAGGAAUCAUAAAGAUUGAUGCAAGGAUUUGGAUAGAUUUCUUUUCAUAUAUGCAUUGCACUUAUAGAUUUCUUUAUAUAUAUAUAUAUAUAUAUAUAAAUUGAAGAACAUAAAAUUUUGACAAAAACACAUUUGGUAAGAAUCUUUUAUGUUGAUUCAAUAUUGAUAUAUAUAUAUAUAUAUAUAUACAUACAUAUAUGUUGCUUAUACAGGUUUUUUUUCUUUGUUUGAAGGCACCUGAUGGGAGAUUCCUUGAGUUCCUUAACUGUUAAGGAGUUAAAGCAGCUAGAGAAUAGGCUUGAGCGUGGCAUUACUAGGAUCAGGUCAAAGAAGGUAACAAAAAUAAGAAGGAAAUAUGACAAUUUAAAUGCAAUAUGACAAUUAAAUGCAUCUAACUCAUCAAUUAUUUAUGUUCAUCAAAUUAUCAAUAUUAUUCCAUAAUUUUUUUUUUUUUAUGUUCUUUUAUAUAAUUAACUUUGGUUUCUUUUUGCUGCAACAGCACGAAAUGCUGCUAGCUGAAAUAGAGUAUAUGCAGAAAAGGGUGAAUUCUAACUUUCUUAUGACUUUUUCUAACGUUGUUAACCCCAAUUCUAUAUUUAAUGACUUUAUAUAACUUAAGUUGUACCUUAAUUUUCGCUUUUAUAUAGGAAACUGAGUUGGAAAAUGAAAGCGUUUGUCUACGAACCAAGGUAAACACAUAAUUUAAUGGCUUCCCUAAUAAUAUGAUUAAAGGAAAUUUAUGCUAAAGAAAUAUGCCUUGCUAUCCCAACACAUACACUUAUGCAUUUAUGUACAUACACACAAACUAAUUGUUUUGGCAUGGAUACAAUAAGUUUGUGUAUUAUUAAAGAUUAGUUACGGGUACAACAGUCAUGUGGUCUGUCGUUGUAUCUCUAAUGUAAAAGUUUACAAUUUAUAAGAAGUGACAGUAUGCCCUAAAUAUCUGGUGCUGUUGAUUGUUUUUGGUCUUAGAGAGACUAAUUUUAUGCAACUUAUGUCAAACGCUAGAUUGCAGAAAUUGAGAGGCUUCAGCAGGCAAACAUGGUGAGUGGACCAGAGCUCAAUGCAAUCCAAGCACUAACUUCUCGCAAUUUCUUUAGCCCAAAUGUGAUUGAGGGAGGAAUUGCCUACUCACACCCUGACAAGAAGAUUCUCCAUCUUGGGUAAUUCUCUAUUGCAUUUUAUUUUUACCCACUAAUUUGUUUGCUUCCAAGCAGUUUUGUACUAUUAAUUUCUCCAUAAAUGAUUCUCCAAGCAUGCAAAAAUGAUAUUGUUACUACAUGAGUCAAUUAUUUAUGUUCUAUAAUUAGGUGCAAUUUCUCCUAAAAUAUUGAACUUGAAGCCUGCAAAAUAAAAUUUCAAAAUCUACAAAACAUUCUUGGUAAUUAUUGAUAAUGAAAAUAAUUUUCAUCUUGUAUAUAUUAGUCUAUCUCUUAUAUAUACAAAGGAGAAUAUAGUUUCAAGUUAUGAAAAGAAAUUAUAAAUCUUAAAAUUUAAAUUUCAAGAUACCAAUUGUUCAAAAUAAUUGCAUAAAUUAACUAAACGAAAAUUUGAAUUUGUAUAAUAAUUGUUUUUGCAUGUCAACAUGUGUGAUAUUUUGUUUUAUACUUUUACAGUUUUACGUUUUUUAAAUGACCAUAUAUAUAUAUACAUUAUUAUAAAUUCUUAUACUUGACUUUAAUUUACGUUACAAAAUUAAGGGAUGGGAUUAAUAACUAAUUGUUUGCAACACUGAUUGCAGGUAGAGAGUUGGAGAGAACAAAUCUGAAAAUGGUGUUUUCAUAUAAUAUAUAUGAAAUAAGCAUGCAUUUGAACCAUUUGUACGACUAUUACGAAGUUGGUGUGAUAUAACUGUUACUGGUUAUUUGCUUGUUUUUAAUUGGAGUAGCACUCUCAUUUAUGGAACGUGCAUAUGGUUAUGUUUAAUUUUGCAUGUGAAACUGUUUAACGUAUUAAUUAAUACUAUGAAUUCCGUAGAUACUUUAUUUUAUUCAGAAUCUUUUAAAAAGAUUUUCAACACGAUUUGAAUGAAAUUAAAUUUAACUAUUAAUUCGGUUCCUUGAUAUCGAAUUCAUGUCAAUUUAAAUUUCAUCUAAAUUUGGCUUUAGAAAGUGUUAGGCCAAUUUUAAAUUCAUCACUUUGGGCUUUAUUUUACCGUCGGGUUUAUGGAUAUUUUAAUUUUCUGAACCAUAAUUUAGCAAAUGUAACAUGCUUAAAAUUUAAUUAUUCUCAACCUAAACUAUUAUCUUUUUAUUAAAAAAAAACAUCUUAGAUAUGCAAAAUGGAAAAUUUAACAAUUCUGAAAUAUUUGAAAAUAUAAAAAUAAACAUUGGAUCAUAAAUGGUAUCGAGUUUUUACUCAAAAAAAUGUAUAUUGAUUUUAAAUACUCCUUUUAUCUCAAAUUAUUAAUUCCCUUUUACUUUCAUGGAAUUUAAAAAUAGUAAAAUAAAAACUUUGAAUUAUUUGUUUCAAUUUUUUUAUAAAUUUAAUGUUCCAUCAUUUUUAAUGUCUAAAAAUAAGAAAAAAAUAUCAAGAAAAAUAAUUUUAGAAUACAAAAAAAAAAAAAAAGAUUUAAGUGUCACAAUAAAAAGAAAAAAUAGUUUCGGAAUGAGAUAGAAGAAGCUUUCGCACUAAACUUCUUCAGGAAAAUUACAAUAAAAAUUAAAUAACUGUCAAUUACUUUCUUGCUGAUUUUCUUUUCCUUUUUUCAUCAAAAAAGAAACAUAUAUAAAACCACAGAGCUCAAAUCUGUUAAAACUUUAAUAAGACAAGCUGAAUUUAGAGAACGAUGGUCAUUUACUCAGAAUUUAAAUAUUAUAGCAUUUUUAAAAGAUUGAAUUUGUACAUAUAUAUAUUUGCAGUCACACACAAAGUUCAAACCAACAGGUUAAGAAUAAAGAGGUGGGCCAGAAGGGUGAGGCAUUCCACACAAUUUUAACAGUUUCAUCAAUACCUAAGUCAGAGGAUGGCACAUCGGGCAGCUUGCUUCCGGAGCUCCUCAGUCUCUCUCUGUGCUCUUUCUAGAUUCUCUCUGAGCUUGCGAAUUUCAUCAUUUGAUUUCAUUUGAGCUAGCUGUGCCAUCUCUUCAGCCUUCAGCCGCGCUGCCUGCUCCUCUGCUAACUGCUGCUCGAGCCUGGCAGUUGUCUCCUUCAGCUUUGACUCGACCUGUAGAACACCAUCAUUCAUUAAGCGGAGACUAUGAAACCAUUAGUUAUGGUGACUGAAUGCAUAAAAAUUAUCUCAAUAAUCCAAAAAACCAAAAUUAGCCAAAGAAAUAUAGUCUGAAGCUGGAAGCAAGCAUCUUUUGAAACAGAAUAGACAAGCAAUUUAAGUUUAUUUGUGCUCGAGUCGACGAAGUAUCGUCCUUCACGCUUUCAACGUCAGAAAUUAACCAAACUGUUCUCAUAUUUCAAUUUGAUUUGUAUUCUUCUUUAAGCACAAUAAAAAUGCAUAUUAACCAAUUCCAAGGGUGCUUCCCAAUAACAAAGCAUAUGAUAGUAACCACCAUUGACCAAAAAUCCUUGCCGUGAUUUAGAUCCUCAAAAGGAAUUAAAUGUUAUGAGAUUAGAGAAGAGGGAAGUGGAAGGAAAGCAAACUACAUCUCAGUUUAAACACCCAUAAUGCUGAAGGAGAUAAAACUACAUUAACUUUUGGCCAUUUCCUUCUUGUACUCUUAACGGUUUUCUCCUAAAAAAAGAAUAAUAAAAAUUGUAGAAAUUUAAUUUCUGAACUUAUGGCAUUAACUUGUUCCUUCUGAAAUGUGAAAUGGCUGGGGCUAUAUCAUGAUUAACACACAUAUUAGAUUUUGAGCCACAAAGAAAAAUGGUUGAGGUAGGUUGACAGCUGGCAUAAAACCAGUCCCAUCCAAUGGACAUGAAUUAUAAAAAGGAAACAGUUAAGACAUUCCGUCCUAGGGACAUACUGCAUUUGACCUGGGCAAAAUGAAAUUAACAAGGCAUUCUUCAUCAGCUGCACAACAGAUCAAUGCUUAGAUAUAAGAAGUAAGCAAUGAUUCUUACACAUUAACGGAGAGCCAUAAGUAAAAUUACAUUACAUGAGGCAAAGAAGGAACUAGGUAAUAGAUAUCGUAACUUUAGUACAGAUGGAAGGGCAUCCAUGAAAGAGUAAAAGCUACAUUUGAUGGAAGCCCAAACUAUGUUUCUCUGAGUACAUCAAAAUGUCAAUACCCAUACUCCCAAGUUAGAUUAAACAAGGCCAAAAUGCAACACUUCAGGAAAAUUACAGAGACUCAAGGAUUCCUAGCUAAGACAACUAUCAGGCACAAUUUGAAAGGGUAUCUGGGAAAAGAUGGUGCAGGGUUCAAAAGGCUACACGAUUAUGGUUUUGGAGAUAGAAAUGAGGAAAUAGGAUCAAAUUUGAAGUUUGCAAUGGCAUGUAGUUAACUGGUGUCGAUUAACAAUUCUUUAAAAAGGACUCAAAUCUCUUACUCCAUGUCAAAUUGCAUGCCCACUUUUGACCUAGCAUGGAGAUUAAGAAAAACAAUUUAACUUUAGUGUUGUCGUUUUUUUUAAGAUAAAUUUAUAAUAUUGAUAAACUAUAGUUUUUAAUGUCAAUACAUAUAUAUUAAAAAUUAAUAGGAAACAUAGAAAAAGUAAGAGUUACAGGUGCUCACAGCAAGAAAGUGUACAUAGUUUUGGAAUGGCCCAAUAUGGAAAGAUUGACAUUCAAUUUGGGAUGGAGGGAGUAACAUUAAUAAAACCAGAUAAAUUAUUUGUCAAAUAGAUUUUCUUCCUUGCUAGAAAAUCAUAUAGAACUCUUGAAAAAUAUGGUAAGGUUACUGGUGGCGUAAUAGAGCAGAGAUGGUAGAUCAAUACCAAUGAUCCUUCCUAAGAGUAAAAGCUUUUGACAUGUAGGAUUGAUUAUUCAUAAAAGUCAUGGUAGAGAAAAAGCUAAAGUGAAAUUGGACGAAAUGGAAAAACUCAGAGUUGAGACAUAAUGUGAUGAUAAGAUACCAACCAAGCUGAAAGGGAAACUUUGUAAGUUAUAAAGCAGUGAUGGUAGGAUAUCAGCCAAAAUGAAAAUAAUCUAUCUUUUAAAUUUGAACUCACUGCACCUCAUUGCUCAGAUUAUAGAGCAGUUAGAAAUAGUUGUAGCUGAAAUAAAAAGAUAAAUGCAAGGUAAUGGUUAGAACAGAGAAGUAGAUGCUAUUUAUAAAGACGCUAACUAAGUUGGUGAGGCACCUGAGUUGGCAUUUUAUAUAACUCAAAACUCCACUACUAAUAUAUAUUCUCCCUCUCUCUUCAUUGUAUAAGUUAAGAAAUUAUAUCUUUCCAUUUUCUCCACAUUAUCUCCUCAAGAAAUAUUUCUUUUGCAAUUUCUUUUCUAGUUUUAUCACCCUUGUACUUGCAGCCAAAGAUCUAGUAGAAAAAGAAAUGAAGUUGUAAGUAAAACAGUGAAAAGGCAAGAACGGAAAACAAGUUGAGAGGACAGCAUAGAUUAUUGGAGUUGCACAGGACAACAAAGAAUUAAGGACAUUCUGUAAAGGAGUUUGUUGAUUCACGAAGAAGGUAAAGGGAGGCUAGAGGUAAAACAAAAGCCAUAUUGGGUAAAGUAGAAAAGAACUUGAUACUCCAUGUUCCAGAAUGUUUGGACCUAAAACAAGGAAGACAGACAUAAGCACUCAUCUAGCCAACACCAACAGGUUGAGAUGUGCUGAGCUAGGAGAUGAUGUCAGGAAAAGCAUCAUUUCUUAUACCAAAACAAAUCUGAGUAAAUGCAAUGCAAUGUAGAUAUUUUCACCAUAAGAAACUAAUAAAACAACUGAGAUGAAUAACCAACUAACAGGUAUGUCCCAAGACUGCACUCUUUUUGACCAGAAGGGAAACAAGACAGCUAAAAUUCAAAUAGAAAAGCUAUAUGUCAGAAAUAACAGCUGAAUUUAGUUGGGACAGCCUGAUAGAGCACAUUGGCGGCAGCCUGCAAAGCUGUUAAGAAGACAUACUAAGGAUGGCUCUAAAGCCAGGGCCUUGAUUUGGCACAUUUCCAAAAAAUGAGAAGCCCACUGGUAUCAUUUAGUAGGCUAAAUAGUUGCUUUUAAGUAAUAAAUUUUUCGCAUCUUUAAAGCAAAUAUUGCUGAAUCUUGUUUUAAUUUCAUUUUUCUUGAAUUUCAAGUGUUAGGGGCAGUUAUGUAAUUUUCUGAGCAUCCUUGAAUCAUAUUUGGGAUCUUCUAUUUGCACCCCUGAAUUUGCUCUCUACACCCCAUUUCUUUUAACACCCCAAAUUCAAACUCAACAAAAUUGUCUUUACUUUCCACACCCCUCACCUCCAAAUUUACAAUUCCUUAUACUCAUUCCCAAACCCUAAACUAAUCCAACCCUAAAACCAAUUUCCUUUCUUCAUUUGAUUCUUAGUUGAAUCAACACCAACAAUCUCAAGUUUCGAAGAGAUUAACAGUUUCAAAAUAAUCCUUUUGAACAUAGAGAUUUUUUUUUUUUUUUUUUUUUGUGAAGAAUGGGAUUGAAUACUGUGGAAAACACUUAUUUACAACUGGUUGUAAUCUUGUAAUCUGUAUAUUUAUAUUUGUAUCUCUAGAAUUAAGUAUUUGUAUCCCUAAAAUUAGGAUAGACAAUCCCUCAAUUAUAGGAUUAGUUUUUUAGGAAGAUUUAGUUUCCUAGUUUAACCCCUAGUUAGUUGUAUAUAAACCUAAGAUUCUUUGUAUAAUUCUUAAUUCGCAGUUUUUCAAUAUACAUUCAAUUUCCACACUAAUUUAUUUCUUAGUUUUCCACAUGGUAUUAGAGCUUUAGGCUCUUCUUGGGAAGCAAAAUUUUCAAGCCUUCAUUGCUGACUUCUAUUUUAGGCCUUCAUCGCCGAAUCCUGUUUAGGCCUUCAUUGCCGAACUCUUUCAAAGAAAGAUAUCACUACCACCUAAUUUAAGGAAAUGUCACUGAAAAAAUCACUAAAGUACUACAGAUGUCUCAAAAACAAGGAAGAAGUCGAUAAAGAAGAGAUUGAAAAACUGAAAAACUUAUUGAAAAUAUUUGAAAAGCCUACUGUGGUUUUUUCUUUGGGUAAGGUUUCUAGUUCAGUUAAAGCUUCCGGUUCUCAUGGAUUAAAUGUCUCAGCUAAGCCUAUUACGAGUUCUUAGGUCAUUAACUCAGGAGCCACAAACCAUAUGAUACAUUCCUCACAAAAGUUAACUACACUAAUAACCUGUUGUCCUAGUAAUAAAAAAAUUAUUGUUGCAGAUGGUUCACUUACUACAGUGGCAGGUUUAGGAGAUGCUCAAGUUAAUCCCUCAUUUGUUCUCAAAAAUGUUCUUCAUGUUUCCUAGAUUGUCUACUAAUUUAUAUCUAUACAAAAACUUACCAGAGAUAUGAAUCGCAAAGUAACUUUUUAUCUCUCUUAUUGUGAAUAUCAGGACAGAGUUUGGGAAAGAUGAUUAGACUUGCUAAGGAGAAGGAUGGACUAUACUAUCUUGAGACAUCAAAUAACACAAGUAAUAUCAAGAAUAGUUUUACCUUUGACAUUUCUUUUUGAAAAUCUUCCAAUAAAACAAAAUCUGGCUUUAUCAUUUUUCGUUUUGGACAUCCUUCUUUUGGAACUUUGAGAAACAUGUUUCCUUCUUUGUUCAAAGGAUUAAAUGUCAAAGAUUUUCAUUGUGAUAUUUGCGAACUUGCAAAGCAUGAGACGUGUGUCUUUUCCAAUUAGUAAACAAAAGAAGUUCUGACUCCUUUUUACUUGAUUCAUAGUAACAUUUGGGCGUCCCUUUACAAUUCCUAAUAUUUCUGGUACGAGAUGGUUUGUUUCAUUCAUAGAUGAUUGUACCAGGGUCUCUUGGGGUUUUUUUUACUUAAAAUCCAAAUCAAUGUGAAUAGUGUGUUUUAAGCUUCCAAAACAUGAUCUAAAAUCAAUUUGGAGUGAAAAUCAAGAGAUUUAGAUCUAAUAAUGCAAGAGACUACUUCAACCAAAGUCUAUCCACCUAUUUCCAAAAAGAGGGGAUUAUCCAUAAGUCAUCUUAUGUUAAUACUCCACAGCAGAAUGGAGUGGCAGAGAGGAAAAACAACCAUUUACUAGCCACAACCCGAGCCUUUCUUUUUCAAACAAAUGUACCUAAAUCUUACUGGGGGGAAUCGGUUCUCACUGCCACACACGUUAUAAAUAGGUUACCUUCAAGAGUUUUGGGAUUUAAAACUCCUAUGAAACUACUCUCACAAUUUUAUCCCAACCUCAAUACCACAAACAAUCUCACACCUAAGAUAUUUGGUUGUACAUCAUUUGUUCAUGUUCACAGUCAUAACAGGGGAAAGUUGGAUCCAAGAACGAUUAAGUGUAUUUUUGUAGGGUAUUCUUCAACUCCAAAAGGAUAUAAGUGCUAUCAUCCUCCUACCAAAAAAUUCUAUGUGUCUGCAGAUGUCACUUUUGAAGAAAAUAAACCAUUUUUUACUCAACCUUAUCUUCAACGGGAGACUUCAUUCAUGGAAGAUAAGGAUAAUGACUUCUUUUUGCUUGAUUUGCCCCCUUCUUCAACAUUUACACCCAUUAAUUCUUCUGAGUCGAAACCUGUUUCUGCUGAGCCCAAGUCAAACACCGAAUUUGAGUCUGAACCCAUUCCAAAUACGGAAGAUGUGACAAAGGAUAAUACUGUUCUUGAUUCUAUGAAGGAAUUACAAGUGUACUCAAGAAGGAAAGUUCCAGAUCCUGAAACAGUGCCAGUCUAAGAACCUGAUCCUAACUCUGGAAAUGAAGUAACUACAGUUUUUGACUCUGUUUCUCAAAAUGAGCAUGAAUCUCCUAAAACUAUAACUAGUGAUUAUGAUCUGUCUAUUGCCAUUAGGAAAGGAACCAGAGAAUGUACCAAGCAUCCACUAUACCUAAUCUCUAAUUUUGUGUCAUUUGAAAAAUUCUCCCAUCCCACAAAAAUUUUCUUGUAAGCCUAAACACUAUUUCUGUUCCAACUACAUUAUCGAGGCAUUAUCCAGUGAGAAAUGAGGCAAGCCAUGAAAAUAGAAAUGGGGGCCUUAAAGAAAAAUCAGACAUGGAAACUGUUAGAGUUGCCUAAAGGAAAAAAUCCAGUGGGGUGUAAAUGGGUUUUUAACUGCAAAAUACAAAGUAGAUGGUACUGUUGAAAGGUAUAAAGCCAGGUUAGUGGCUAAGGGCUACACUCAAACCUAUGGAGUGGAUUACCAGGAAACCUUUGCUCCAGUUGCCAAGAUGAAUACAGUUAGGAUUUUGUUAUCAUUGGCUGCAAAUUACAAUUGCAGCUUCAACAAUUUGAUGUAAAGAAUGCUUUUCUACAUGUAUGAUAGGAAGAAGAAAUAUAUAUGAAGGUUCCACCGGGAUUUAGAGGUCAUCUAAAAGCAAACAAAGUAUGCAAGCUGAAAAAAGCUUUAUAUGGCCUUAAACAGUCUCCUAGAGCUUGGUUCAGGAGAUUCGCCAAAGUGAUGCUAGCAAUGGGAUAUAAACAGAGUCAAGGAGAUCACACAUUGUUUAUCAAGCACUCUGAUUCAGGGAGUCACAGUUCUAUUAGUGUAUGUUGAUNNNNNNNNNNNNNNNNNNNNNNNNNNNNNNNNNNNNNNNNNNNNNNNNNNNNNNNNNNNNNNNNNNNNNNNNNNNNNNNNNNNNNNNNNNNNNNNNNNNNNNNNNNNNNNNNNNNNNNNNNNNNNNNNNNNNNNNNNNNNNNNNNNNNNNNNNNNNNNNNNNNNNNNNNNNNNNNNNNNNNNNNNNNNNNNNNNNNNNNNNNNNNNNNNNNNNNNNNNNNNNNNNNNNNNNNNNNNNNNNNNNNNNNNNNNNNNNNNNNNNNNNNNNNNNNNNNNNNNNNNNNNNNNNNNNNNNNNNNNNNNNNNNNNNNNNNNNNNNNNNNNNNNNNNNNNNNNNNNNNNNNNNNNNNNNNNNNNNNNNNNNNNNNNNNNNNNNNNNNNNNNNNNNNNNNNNNNNNNNNNNNNNNNNNNNNNNNNNNNNNNNNNNNNNNNNNNNNNNNNNNNNNNNNNNNNNNNNNNNNNNNNNNNNNNNNNNNNNNNNNNNNNNNNNNNNNNNNNNNNNNNNNNNNNNNNNNNNNNNNNNNNNNNNNNNNNNNNNNNNNNNNNNNNNNNNNNNNNNNNNNNNNNNNNNNNNNNNNNNNNNNNNNNNNNNNNNNNNNNNNNNNNNNNNNNNNNNNNNNNNNNNNNNNNNNNNNNNNNNNNNNNNNNNNNNNNNNNNNNNNNNNNNNNNNNNNNNNNNNNNNNNNNNNNNNNNNNNNNNNNNNNNNNNNNNNNNNNNNNNNNNNNNNNNNNNNNNNNNNNNNNNNNNNNNNNNNNNNNNNNNNNNNNNNNNNNNNNNNNNNNNNNNNNNNNNNNNNNNNNNNNNNNNNNNNNNNNNNNNNNNNNNNNNNNNNNNNNNNNNNNNNNNNNNNNNNNNNNNNNNNNNNNNNNNNNNNNNNNNNNNNNNNNNNNNNNNNNNNNNNNNNNNNNNNNNNNNNNNNNNNNNNNNNNNNNNNNNNNNNNNNNNNNNNNNNNNNNNNNNNNNNNNNNNNNNNNNNNNNNNNNNNNNNNNNNNNNNNNNNUUAUGGAAACACCAAUACUAUUAUGGUUAAUGAUAAAAAACCUUCAUCUUCUACCCAAAACUUUCCAUAGUUACUAGGCAAAGAACUUAUGGACUUCAAAGCCUAUAAGAACUACUUGAACAUUUCAAAUAGAAAAUGUGGAACUACCAAAUGAUCCUCAACAUAGAGUUGAAUGUUUUAAAAAAAUGAUAGAUCAACUUUAUUCCUGACCAUCAACAGAUUUUUCAAAAUUUUAAUUAUCAUUAUAUUCUAAACUAACUACACAACCAGUGAAAGUAAGUGAAAAACGGCUAGCAUAAAUGAUAAUUUGUGACAUUCUAACAACUAGCCCAGUUGUUAAGAAUGAAAAAACUUUAAAUGAAGAAACAUUUGAAGAAAAAAAAAUCUCUCCUCAACAAACAGUUGAUAUAGGAAAAGAAAGAUUUCUAGAUCAAGCAGAUCUAGAAAAGUUUUAGUCGUUUGAAAUCUAUCUAAUUGAAAAUAUUAUUUCAUCUAAAAUGAUUAAAUAAAAAAUACUACAGAAGCUUGUGAAACAAGUCAAACUUUUUAAAAUAAUGCAACCUCAACUAUAGAUUCUUUAAACAAAAGAAAUGUAGCUGUUGGUGGCAAAUAUUUAGAUCUAUCUAAAGUACCAAUAUCUGAAUAUGAAAAAAAAACCAUAGAUAAUUGGGCACAAUCCAUGUUUAUUGUAGUAACCCACUACAAAGAUUAAUGGAAUUGUGAAAAAUUUUAAAUUAUUUUUGUGGAACAUGGUAAAGAGAUGUUUUGAAAUUUUUAAGAAAAUGAGAAAACAUAACUUUGGGAAAAACACAGAAGUCAACUAUUUUAGCCCAUGAAAAUAUUCCUGGUCUUUUAAAAUAUCUUACAAAUGUUUUAAAAAAUGAAUUUUGUGGUGCUCUUGAAGAUUUAUAUACAAACUCUGAAGCACAAUUUGUUCUAUCUAAACUUUAACUUUGUAACAUUCUAAACCUAGAUGAAUUUUCUAAAAAAUAUAUGAGUGAGUUCUAGCGUUUGAAUGAAGAACAUUCAAAAUUCUGGUUAGAACAAUAUUUUCAUAAACUUCUUUCACCAUGGAAUGAAUUGUGUUUACAAAAUUAUUCUACCUUUUUAGAAAUUAGAUUAAAAAUGUCUAAUGUUGCUAACCCUAGUAUCGAAUUAUACAAUACUUUAGGAAGCAGAAUAAGUUAUAUACAACAAUAAGAAGUUAUAGAACACUAUCUUAAACAAAAGGUAGCAAAAUAGGUUAAGAGUAAACUUAGUUAUAAACAAUGCACUAAGAUACUCAAAAAUGAAUUUACUUUUGGUUGUAAAAAAUAGUUAAGACAUCAUAAAAAUCAUUUUUAAAAAAUGAUAUUUUAUGAAAAAAUGGAAACCUAAUCAAAACCAUUUAAAAUCAUCUAGCAAAAUAUUUAUUGUAAGAAGAAAAACUUCUAAAAAAACAAAAUUGCAAAAUGUUUUAUAUGUGAAGAAGAAGGUCAUAUUGCUACAAAUUGUCCUAAAAAAAGGUAAAGUGCAAAUAUGUUUUUCAAAAGACUUAUCAGAUGAAGAAAUUUUUUAUGAAUUAUUUUCAGAGACAGAUUCUGAUUCUUCUUAUAGUGAAACAAAAUUUAUUUUAUGAAUACUGAAUCUAAUCUAGAUACAGUAUCAGAAACAUCUUCUGCUACUAACCAAGCUCUAGAAGAACAAAUGACUUCUCUUAAAAAUAUAGUGAGAAAAACUCAUCAUAUUUCUAAUGAAAAACUAAAAAGGUUACAACUCAUAAAAAAAAGAUGAAAUUUACCGAACAAGUUUUUUGAAAAGUUUUCAACUUUUGCUUAAAUGCCAUAUUGAAAAAGUUUGUGGUAAUACUAUAGCAAAUGAUUCUAAUAAAGGAUUAGUAGAAAUUCCUUUAUUUACAAAGAGAAAAUAAUGUUUUCUCACUAAAUUUCCAAAAACUAAAUACAUUCAUAUAGGUGUUAUUAUAAUCACCAUUAAACCACUAUUUCAGGAAAAAAACAUCCCUAUUUUAGCUGUUUUAAUGAAUAAAUAUUUUUUAGACCUUAUUAAUGCUAUUAUUAGAGGAAUCUAAUCCAAUUUAGUAUAAAGAGUUAUUUUUAUUGGAAUUUUUGACCCUUAAAUUGAAAAAUGUUUGUGUCUUAGAAGCAGAAUAAAAAAUUUUGAUCUUGAUGAGGUAGCUUACGAUCUUUCCAUAAAUUGGAUUGCUAUUUAUGAGUUUACUAAUGUCACUGCAACAUAUAUCAAAUAGGUAGAUCCUAAACUUAUAGAAAAUUUUGAACCUCAACCUUUUGAUUUCGAAAUCAAACCUAGAUUUAUAGAUCUUAUAGAUUUAGCUGUCCCAACGGGAUGGUUAUUAGAAGACAUUGAAAAAGAAAAUUUGCAACAAGCAGAAUAUCUACUUUAAAUUUUUUUUCUUCAGGAAAAAACUUUUAUUUUAAAAAUUAUUCUAAUCCUAAUACUGGAUUAGUUUUUCCUCAUUCUAACAUUUCAUUAUCCAAUCAAGAUGAUGAUAUUGAAAGUAUUAAUAGUAAUCAUUCUUUUGCUACAUCUUAUCAAAAUUCUUUUUUAGGGUUUCAAAGAUCUUUUAGCACAAAUGGUGCUCAAAUUCCAAUAUUUUCAAGUGAUAAUCAAUCAUAACCUUCGAUUUAUAAAAUAGUAAACUCUGUUUUAAGUUUUGAAUCUUCUUUUAGAAAAACUACAAAUGAAAAAAAUCAAAAAGUUACAUAUAAUUUCUCAAUAUAAAAUUAGAAAUGAUGAUGUAAUUACUUUUUCUAAUAAGCAACUAAAAAGAUUUUUUCCUUAUAUUAAAUGAGAAUUUUGUUUUCAAAAAUAUAAACCUUAUUCUCUUCAUAAUCUAAUAGACACUGGAGCAACAAUUUCCAGUUGUAGAAAAAAUGCUUUAUUGUUAAAAAAAAUGGGAGUUUAGGAAACAUCCAAUUGUUAUCAUUGGAAUUGAUGGUAAAGAAACCAUCAUUAGCUUUAAAAUAAAAAAUAUUCCUAUUUAUUUCAAAAAUUAUUUGUUUUCUUGAUAUGCGUAGAGAUAUCCUUUUAGGAACUAAUUUCCUGUAUAAUUAUUUUGCUUUUAGUCUUUUCCAAGAUAUUAUCUUUUUAACGAUAGAUAACCAAUCUAUCAAAAUUCCUCUUGUUAAAGGGCACAAACACAUUUAUGAUAAAAAUUUUAAACCAGAAUCUUUACUAACAAAAAUUAAAAUAAUCAAUGAAAAACAUUGGUUAGAUAAAGUUUUACAAGAAAAUUGAAGAACCAAUAAAACUAUUGUUUUGUAGUCCUAGAUAUUGUGAGUUAAAAAUUGUAGAUCUAACAACGAUUAUAUGAGUAAAACCCAUGAUCUAUACCAAAUAGGAUAUAGAUGAAUUUAAAAUUCAAAUUUCAGAACUUCUUUCAAAAGGGUUAAUUGAACCAACAAAUAGCCCACAUUCUAGUUCUAUAUUUUUGGUAAGAAACCAUGCAGAACAAAAAAGAGGUAAAGCCCGUAUGAUAAUUAACUUUAAGAGACUUAACCAAAAUAGUUUUUGAUGGUUAUUUUAUACCAAGAAAAUAUGUUUUAAUUAAUUUAGCAAAAAAUACUAAAUAUUUUAGCAAAUUUGAUUGCAAAUCUAGAUUUUCGCAAAUCAUGCUUUCAAAAAAAUCUAAACCUUUAACAGUUUUUAGUGCACCAACAGGCCAUUAUCAAUGGACUGUUAUUCCAUUCGAUCUCUAUAAUGCCCAUCAAAUAUUUCAGAGAUGGAUAAAUACUAUUUUUUGCAAAACAUGCAAAAUAUUGUUAUGUUUAUAUAGAUGAUAUUUUAGUUUUUUCUUUAAAAACUUAGAAGAACACAGGAAACACCUGAAUAUUAUUGCUUAAGAAUUUAUUUCUCAUGGUAUAAUACUUAGUCUAAAAAAGAUUGAGUUAGAAAAAACUUAGAUUGAGUUUUUAGGUUUAAAGUUCUCUUCAUAUGGUCUUACUCUACAAGAUCAUAUUAUUUCAAAAAUUAAAGAUUUUCUAGAAAAAUUGGAAAAUAAAAAGCAUUUACAACAAUUCUUAGGUCUUCUUAAUUACAAAAGAUAAUUCUUUAAAAAUCCUUCCAAAAAAAAAGAUUUACAAGAAAAAUUAAAGAAAGAUAUUGAAUUUACUUGGACAUUUUCUGAUUCUGAUAUUAUUAAACAAAUAUCUUAGUAAAGACUAAAAGGAAAAUAAUUAUGUAGGAAAUUGGUUCCUAAAAAGAUAUCUCCAUGCAUAUCAUGAAAACAAAUAAUUUUUGGAAUUAUAAAUUUAAUAUUAUUAAAAUAAAUAGAAAUAUUUUUUGCUUUAAAACCAAUGAUGGUUUUUUUGCCAUCAAUUCCAAUGAUAGCAAUUGGAUGUUUAUAAGCUUCCAUUUGUUUAACAGUAAAGCAUUCUUUCUACAAUUGGAAAUUCUGCUCUAGUGUCUAUUAGAAUAUGAAGAGAAUAAGGUUUAUAUUUUUGAAAAUGAAAUUCUCCUUUAAUAUAGGGAUAAAAUCUUUUUGGUUGCUUAUUAGAAAAUGCAAUUACAUUAUCAUUUCCAAUUUUAUAUUGAGAAAUGAUAUGUAACUUUUUUAUUUCUUCAUUUCUAGUUUUUCUAGAAGAAGAUUUAGAAUUUAAAACAGAGUUUACUAUUUUAUAAAUCGAGGGAUAUGAUUGAUUAUCACUUGGAAAUAUUGGAAUUUGAGCGCUAUUUGUGCUAAAAGAUCUUUGAAAUCUUGAAAAGGAAUUUUGAUAAAGUGUGACAAAAAAUUGAUUACUAUUAAUACUUUCAAUAUCAUCAUCUUGAUUGGAUAAUGAAAUGUUAAAAGGAGGAAGAACUAAUCCAAGAUUAGGAUUAGAAGGAUUUUUAGAACUUGAAGAUAGCACCAUCUGCUAAAGAGUAGCGAACCUAAGAAAAAGAAAUAUUAUUGCUAAGGAUAAUGUUGUUGAUAAGACUAGGGAGAAUAAUGUUAAUCCUUAUGGAUUUUUGGUAUUUUUAUUUUUGCCUUUCUAACAAUUGAAUUUCAUUAAUGGAAUUGAUUUAAACUUUCAGCUCGGUUCUUAAUUUUUUAUUCUAUUUUAUUUUUUCAAUUUUUAAAUCAAGUAUAAAAAUUGUACUUUUGGUUCUACUAAAUAAAAAUGUGUUCAGAAUAAAAAAUGAGACAAAAAAUUGUUGAUUGUUGAACAUAAUUCGAUACAUGUUGACAAUAUAGACAAAGUAUUGGUCAAUAUAUUGAUUGAUUAUUACUUGCUGGUAGUACACUUUUAGGUUACUGAAUUUCAAGUCUAAGGAAUGAGGUCUUUAUUGAGAUCUUAUAAUUUAAAUGCUUCUAGUUGGAUGACCUCCUUCACAAUGUUGAGGCCUUCUCAGCUAGGCAUCAAUUUUCUUCCUCCCUCCGAGGCUUCAACUUUCUUGAGGACUAGGUUACCUUAUUUUAUAUCUUUCCUCCUGACUUUUUUGUUGUAAUAGUUUAACACUUUCUUCUGAUAUGCGACUGUUUUGAUUAAAGAGUUAUCCCUUAAUUCUUUAACUAAAUCUAGACCAAUUCUUUGUAUAAGAUUAAUGCCUUGUUUGUCAUAUUUGUUCACCAUAAGGCUCAGUAAACUAAUCUCAACUGGCACAACUACCUUAGUCCUAAAUGCUAGAUUAAAUGGAGUCUUUCAUAUUGGCAUAUUGGUCAUUGUCUUAAGUGCCCAUAGUACUUCGGGCAACUUUUCAGCCCAUCUACCUUUAGCCUCAUUUAGCCUUUUUUUCAAAACUUUUAAGAUAUUCUUAUUUGUUGCUUAUGCCUACCUAUUUGCUUGGGGAUGAGCUAUCGAAGAGAAUUGCAAGUUUAUGCUGAACUUCCCAUACCAUUAUUUAAACCUUGGGUUAUCAAACUACUUACCAUUAUUUAUAAUGAGAGCCCAAGUAAAUCAUAUCUAUAAAUAAUGUUUUUUCUAGAAGAAUUUUCAAACUUAGGUUUUCAUAAUGCUUUCAAAUGCUUCCCUAUUGCCAUCAGUAUGAAUUUUCUUUAAGUAGGAGCCAAGUUGAAAGGCCUUAGCUCAUGCAUUUCCUAUUACAUGAAAGGCCACGGACUAAUGGUUAAGGUUAGUUUGAUCUCGAUUGAUAUUGCAUGUGCACAUACCUUUGGCAUUUAUCAUAUCGCUUAACCAAUUCGGUUACAUUUUUUUUUUUUGGUUGGCUAGUAGUAUCCUUAUCUCAACACUUUAUAGGCUAAAGCUCGGGGUCCAAAGUGAUUUCUAUACAUUCUUUUAUGUAUCUCUUUGAGCAUAUAGUUAGCUUCUUUUUCAUUUACACAUAUGAGGUAAGAUAGACUGAAAGAUCUUUUGUAUAACUUGGCAUCGAUAAAGACAUACUCUAGUGACUUUCUUAUAAACAUCUUAACAAGGUUUUUAUGUCACGCCAAGCACUCCAAAUGGAGUAGAUAAGGUACUCCAAUCUCAUAUUAGAUAUGAAAGAGGGGUUAUUGGGGUAUAAAAAGAUUCACACCAUCUCUUCUUUGUGAGACACAUUUUGUGAGACAAAAUAGUGAAGCCAUAGGGGCCAAAGUAGAUAAUACCUCAAAAGGGUGUAAAUCGUGAUAGAUAAGUUAAUAUAGGAUGCUGGAUGAGUACAUGCAUGGGUCUUGAAGCUGCAUGAGCUUGGAGGUUGAGUCUUGACUCGUAACAAGUGGUAUCAGAGCAGGCCUUGGAUCGUUCAACCUAUGUCAAGCACCGCGAAAAAGGUAAGUAAGAUGGUUAACCUUUAUGAUGAGAGCGUCACGAGGUUGGGUAGGGAAAAAUAUCACGCCAAGUUCUCCAAGAAUAGUAGACAGGGUACUCAAAUCCCAUAUCAGACAUGAAAAAGUGGUCACUAGGGUAUAAAAGGGUUCACAUCACCUCUUCCUUGUGAGACACCUUUUGAACAAUAAAAUCGUAAGGCCAGAGUGAGCAAUAUCUCACAAAGGUGUGAACUGUGACAAGUAGGUUGAUCUGGGAUGCCGAAUGAGUGCAUGCUCCUGUUUUAGAGCCGCACGAGCCUGAAAGUUAAAUCUUGACCCAUGACACUUGUACUUGAGUACUUUUUCUAUGAUCAAGUAUUCUUUAAUUGGAGUCAUCCAAAGUUCUUGUUCUUACUCAAUUAGAUCGACCAUAUGGCCAUUUUUUAUGUGAUUGUCCACUAAUUUCUCUACAAAUAAAUGUUAUAACAUAUAGAUUCAUAGACGUAUCACUAGACAUGACUUUAGAAGUUAUCACAAAUCUUUUUUAUUUAUGUGCGAUUGGUCACCUAACUAAAUCUAUUCUAUUUUAAAGAAAAGUUUCAAGCUUGACUCUCUUUAAAAGGUAAACUCUAGUAUACGAAAUCAAGUUAGAUUUGAGAGUAUAUGAAAUCAAGUUAGUUGAGAUAUGGUUACAUAUGAUGAAAGUUAUAGCACCUUCAUAAUGCUCAUAAAAAUAUGGUACCAGCUAUUUUUAUAUUAUCUGUUAAGCCCUAAAAUUUUAUACAUAUUAAGAAUUAUUCUCAUUUGACUUUAAUAUUUUGACAAAAAUUCAAGAGAAUUCUCUCAUUUCAGGAGUACACAAGAAAACAAUUGUUUCUCUUACAGAGGCUCCAUAUUCAAAUUUUUAAUAUUUAUCUUAUUAUUUAUGAAAUUUAAAAAAAUUAAUUUCAAGAAAAAUUUGAUAUUUCAACUUUUUCUCAAAAUAUUGAAAUCGUUUAAAAAGAAAAUUUGAUAUUUCAAAAUUUCCUCAAAUCUUAGAAAUUAUUUUUGUUUUAAGAAAAAAAAUUGAUAUUUUAUCUUUUUCCUCAAAAAUUUGAAAUUAUUUUCGUUUGAGGAAAAAUUGAUAUGUCAACUUUUUUCUCUAAAUUUUUUAAAAUUAUUUUUAUUUUAUGAAAAAAAUUAAUAUUUUAACUUUUUCCUUAUUUUAUGAAAUUUUUUAUAAGGAAAAAUUGAUAUUUUAACUCCUUUCUUGUUUCUUGAAAUUAUUUUUUGUUUAAGGAAAAAUUGAUAUUUUAACUUUUUCCUCAAAUUUUGAAAUUAUUUUUAUUUAAUGAAAAAUUGAUAUUUUAACUCCUUUCUCAUUUUUUGAAAUUAUUUUUGUUUAAGGAAAAUUCGAUAUUUCAACUUUUUCUUCAAAUUUUAAAAUUAAUUUUGUUUAAGGAAAAAUUGAUAUUUUAAUUUUUCUUAUUUUUUAAAAUUAUUUUUAUUUAAAGAAAAAUGAUAUUUCAAUUUUUUUUCUAUUUUUAUUUUUUUAAAAACACAUUAAAAAAUAUAUUACAUAAAUAAGCAAAAUAGUAAAAAGUAAAAAAAUUUGCCAAAAAAAAAUCUCGGCUCGGCCGUGGACUCAAAAACGGCUUAAAAAACUAUGCUUGGUGACUUGCAGCUCAACUUGGUUCACUUCAACCAGAUUGAGAAGAGGAUUGUGGGCUGAGGUGCUUAGGUCAGCUAGUGAUUAUAGGCUGAAGCGCUGAUUGAUAUCGGGUCAAAUGACCCAACCAAUUUUGCUUUCCAAAAUGGCAUAGUUUUAGCGUUUUAUAUUAAAAGCUUUUUCAAAGAUUUUUUUUUUUUUUUUUCACUCUUGCAAUUUCAUUCUUUCUUCACAAUUAGAAUUCUCUAGCGUCUUUCUAUAGUAUUCAACCUGCCAAGAAUGUUAAUCACAUAAACCAAGAUCGCGACAAAAUACCACUGUCAUCGCCUCGUUUCAUGCUCUAGCCACUGCUUGCCGGCAUCAUUUAGAUCCCAAAAUUUGGCCAAACGUUCCUUUCGCUGUCCCCUUUCUCUUUCACGAGUUGAUUUCCUUUGAAACUAGCCUCAAAAUUACAGAUCUCCAAGCUUAAGCUAGAAUUUCUCUGUCAAAGAAAACCUCUUUUGCGCUGUCCAAUUUGUCCUAGAUUACACUAUCUUCUUCCCCUCCUUUUAACUUUCUCUUCCCACCAUUCCAAUUUCCAAAAGCUCAAGUUGUCACCACGAGCCGCCUACAACAUCAUCAAUCUCGCUAUUCUUCAUGGACUAGAAAUCUUAUGGAACCUUCUUUUCAUUUCCUCUCAAUCUAGUCUUCUUUUUUGUUUUUUCGGAUUUUUCGAAAUCUUCUUGAUAAGCCCAGACCUUUCCUUUCUUUGGUCUAAAACUAUCCCAGAAAGAAUUCAAGUAAGCCCCGAAUAAAAAAUAGCCACUACCAAAAUCUACCUUUCUAUGUAUUGUGUAUCUUUGGGGUUUUGUAAGACCUGUUUCAAAGGUCAAUCAGUCAAUAUGUUGAUGAUGUGGGACUGAAAAUAAGGCCUCAACUUCCUUGUCGAGGUUAUGAUCGCAUAAGCUAAUUUUUUUAUUCUUUAGUAAUUCAACUCAAUGCCUGAUAAGGCUUUACUAACAAAAUAGACAAGGCACAGUUUUUAUCUUCUUCUCAAACCAAGACUGAGCUCAAAGCUUGGUCCAAUUCAACCAGAUAAAGGUACAAAGGUUCUCAUUUUCUUACUUUUGAUAGCAUUGGUAAAGUCGAUAAGAAUUUUUUAGCUCGUCAAAGGGCUUCUGGCACUGUUUUAUCCACUGAAAGUUGGGGAUGUUUCUAAAAAUCUUCAAGAAAGGGUUAAGUAUCUUUCUACCUAUCUUGAGUUGAAUCUGUUUAGGACAACUAUUUUUUUAAUUAAUCUUGUACUUCUUUCAUCGAGGCCGGUGGUUCCAUGUCGAGUAUACCUGAACUUUAUUAGGGUUGCCUCAAUGUCGUGCUAACUGACCAUGAUGCCCAGAAACUUGCCAAAGGUAAACCUGAAAGAACAUUUGUUAGGGUUAAGCUUCGUGUUGUAUUUUCUGAAAACCUUAAAAGUUUUCUUUUUUUUUUUUAAAGUCCUACAGGUGCUUGUUCAAUGUCUUACUCCUGAUGAUAAUCUCAUCUCAUACACUUCAAUGUUAUGGCCAAUCUGAUGUUUAAAAAUCUUAUUCACUAGGCAUUGGUAAGUGGCUCAAGCAUUCUUUAGCUCAAAAAAGAUCACCUUGUAACAGGCGUAUGUAUCCAUAAAGCAUAGAAGGCCAUGCUCAACGAUGUUGUCACCCAAUCGAUCUAUGAUUGGCAAUAAAAAACUAUUUUUAGGGUAAGCGUUUUGUGAUCAGUAAAAUCUAUGCACAUUCUUCAUUUUUUGUUGUGCUUUUUACCAUAACUAUGCUGGCAAUUCAUUUCGGAUAGUAAGUUUCCUUGAUAAAACUAGCUUUGAGUAGUUUGCCGACUUUUUCCUCUAUGGCUUGUUGCUUUUCUGGGGCAAAACACCUUUGUCUUUGUCAAAUAAGCUUGAUGUCGGGAUUGAUGUUGAGUUAGUGACUAUUACUAAAGGAUAUAUUCCGAGUAUAUCUGACAACGUCCACACAAACAGGUCAGCGUUUUCCCUUAAUGGUUUGAUUAGCUUAUCUUUCUCCUCUAAUUGUGAGCUAAUCUGAAUGCAUUUUUAGGAUUUCCUUCAAAGAAUGAGACAUGUAUUACCUUGUCCACUGGUACAGGUCGAGGUAAGUCUAGCUUAGGUUUGUGAUUUUCCAAGAUUUUAAGGUCAUCAUUCUCAUGGUUCGCUCUUGUAAGGGGAUGUUCAUCAUUAUUGGUUAAUGGAUUUGGGUUGGCUUUAGGUCGUAUUUUAAGAGAUCGUAUCAUUCAUAAAAAUUAUUGAUGCAUGUUCACAGAUAUAACAAGUUUUUCAUAGUAGUCCAAACAUAAAAUAGUGAGAAAAUUAUAAUCAUAUUCUUCUAGUUCAAAAAUGACAUUGUUUAGUGCAUAGAGUUAGCUUAUCAGCACUGUUUAAAUUGAUAGUUCGAUGGCGAGCCUUUUAGCUCAGCUUUGCACUUGGCUUAAAAACAUUGAAAAUCAAAAAGAAAAAUUAUAAAUUCUUUCUCUCUUUUCUUAUCUUGCUUCUAGCUUCCUACUUUUACCUUCAUUUUUUUACUCCUCUAGAAAUUUGAUUUUUGUUUUGCGCCUGAAGCAAUAAUCACAACAAUACAGAAGCAAUAGACAACAAUCAAUAAUCAAAUACGCAGGAAAAAUGAAGCACACCAAGAUUUACGUGGAAAACCCUCCAGUGUAAAGGAAAAAAAUCACGGGCCACGAGAAAAAUCUUCACUAUCAAAUAAUAGUUAUACAAAGUUCUUCUCUAGCUAAAACUAGAGCUAAUCAACAACUAGAGAAACAAUUGGAGAAAUCUCACCAAAUAAGUGACUCAACAAAUACACCAUGGAUUUGUUCAUAGAGAGCUUCAAACCCGAUCUUCACCGUUCAGAAUGUAGCACUCUGAAUCAUAGACCUCCUGGCAAGGUUCUAACUCAAUCGGACCACGGAUCUACUUUCGUUCAACCAACUCUUCCUUAUUCUUUUUCUUUCUCUGCUUUUUCUGGCUUUUCUUUUUUCUCUGCUUGGUUUUCGACACACACCUAAAACAACCCUACCUCUUUUUUAUUAAGUAGCUAGGGCUCUGUGUAAAAUAAAAAAUCAAGGCCCAUGGCCUUUACUUGGUCCAAAACCACUUACAUGGGACUGGACCCCAUUUUUCUAACAAUCUCCCCCUCCAGCCCCAUUAGGAGGAGAUUCAUCACCAUAGCAGUUUCAUUUGGAACUUACCUUGGCCAGGGAACUCAUUUCAACCAAGUUACUGCAAAGCUCAAGCUUUUUCUUGGAAAGUAUCUUAGUCAACAUAUCUGCUACAUUCUUAUCAGUAUGGACUUUUUUCAAUAACAUCUGUUGUUUUUCAAUCACUGAACGUAACCAAUGAUAUCUAACAUCAAUGUGCUUUGUUCUAGCAUGGUACAUGAUAUUCUUACUCAAAUCUAAAGCACUCUGACUAUCACAAAAUACCACAUACUUUUUCUGAUUCAACCCUAAUUCAAGAAGAAAACGUUUCAUCCAAAGCAUUUCUUUACAUGCUUUGGUUGCUACAAUAUACUCAGCCUCUGUAGUUGACAAAGCAACACACUUCUGCAACUUAGAUUGCCAAGAUACAGCUCCUCCUGCAAAAGUGAAUAAAUACCCUGAAAUAGAUUUCUUACCAUCAAGAUUACUGUCAUGUCAGCAUCAGUAAACCCUUCUAGAAUUGGUUGUGAAACUCCAUAAGUCAAGCACAUUUUUUAGGUACCCUUCAAAUAUCUAAAAAUCCAUUUCACUGCUUCUCAAUGAACCUUUUCUGGAUUAGAAAGAAAUCUGCUCACUAUACCAACUGCAUGAGCAAUGUCAAGCCUUGUACAAACCAUAAGAUACAUUAAAGAACCGACUGCAGAAGAAUAAGGAAUACUAGACAUAGCUAGUUGCUCUUCCUUAGACACUGGACAAGAUUUCUUACUUAGAUGAAAAUGGUUGGCAAGUGAACUGCUAACUGAUUUAGCAUAUUGCAUGUUGAACCUACCAAGCACUCGUUCAACAUACUUUUCCUGUGACAAUCAUAGCUUUCCAACUCUUCUAUCCCGGAUAAUAUCCAUACCAAGAAUCUACUUUGCUAGACCUAAAUCCUUCAUAUCAAAGGACUUAGACAAUUGUUCUUUCAACCUGCAAACUAUACUAGCACUUGUCCUACAAUCAACAUAUCAUCAACAAAUAAUAAUAGGAUAAUGAAGUUACCAUUAAAAAAUUAUUUAACAUACACACAAGAAUCCGCUGCUGUUCUUUUAUAGCUAUGACUCACCAUAAAAGAAUCAAACUUCUUAUACCACUGUCACGGAGCUUGUUUCAAGCCAUACAAGCUUUUCUUCAAUUUGCAAACUAAGUGCUCUUUCCCUUUCACUUCAAAACCCUCAGGCUGAUUCAUAUAAAUGUCAUUCUGCAAAUCACCAUGCAAAAAUACAGUUUUAACAUCAAGUUGCUCAAGUUCAAGAUUCAAACUAGCUGCCAAUCCCAGUACCACUCGAAUAGAACUCAUUUUUACAACUGGAGCAAAAAUCUCAUCAAAAUCGAUGCCUGGUUUCUAAGAAAAACCUUUUACUACCAAUCGAGCUUUGUACCUCACUAGUUUGUCACCAUCCUUUUUCAACUUGAACACCCAUUUAUUCUUUAAUGGCCUCUUCCCUGUUGGAAGUUUAACAAGAUCAUAAGUACCAUUCUUUCGCAAUGACUCCAUCUCUUCUUUCAGUGCUUUUAACCAGUGCUCUCUAUCCGAAGUAGCCUGUACAUCUUGGAAGCUUUCUGGCUCCCCUUCACUGGUAACUAAAAUAAAAUCUAAACUUGGUACCUGGUAGAUGGCCUGCGCUCUCUAGUAGAUCUCCUUGGUUGAGACUCUACAUCACUUGAUGCCGAAGGUAGCUCCCCUUACUUAACACUCUCAGGUAGAGAAGAUUGUUCCCCCUGCUCAAAACUAAUAACAUCUGGCUCAUCACCAACUGUAGCUGGCUCAUUCAUAUCCCCAAGUUCUAUUUCUUGCCCAUUUUCACCAUCUGUGGCUCUUUCCUGUGAAAUUCCUGUCGGUGUUGAAAUAUCAUACUCAACAGUAACCUGUGUAGUCUUCUCAUUUUUUUCAAAGUUCGUUAUGGUUUCUUUUUCAUUAAAGACCACAUCCCUACUUCUGACUAUCUUUCUCUUUACUGGAUCCCAUACCCUGUAGCCAAAUUCCUCAUCACCAUAUCCUACAAACACACACUGUGUAGCUUUACUGUCAAGCUUUGAUCUUUGCUCUUUUGACACAUACAUGAAUACUUUACACCCAAAAACUUUUCAAGUGAGAGUAUGAAGUAUCUUUCCCUGUCUAAACUCUUUCUGAAAUGUCAAAGCCCAAAGGAACUGAUGGUGACCUUUUAAGUAAAUAACAAGCUGUGUUGACUGCUUCACCCCAGAAUGGCUUUGGUAAUUUUGCCAUCCUCAACAUACAUCUGACUUUUUCCAUAAUGGUGCGAUUCAUUCUUUCAGCUAUACCAUUAUACUACAAUGUUCCAGGUUCUGUCUUCUCAUGCCUGAUCCCAUGCUUUGAGCAAUACUCUUCAAAGGCUUUAGAUGUGUAUUCCCCACCAUUAUCAAUUUGAAUACACUUCAAGGGUAACCCUGUCAUCCUCUCAACCAUGGUAUGAAAUUUUAAAAAAUAUUGCAGUACCUGACUUUUGUAUUUCAACAUAUACACUCAAGUCUUAGUGAAGCAUCAUCAAUAAAAGUAACAAAAUAUCUGCUACCAUCUAAUGACUCAACCUCAAUGGGACCACAUACGUCAGAAUAAAUUAAUUCCAAUCUAUUUUCUUUUCUUUGAGAACUUUUACGAAAAGAAACUCUAUGAUGCUUACCAAACAAAUAAUAAUCACAUGAAUCGAGAGACAUACCUUUGGUCAAGGGAAUGAGAGACUGUCUUGCCAAAACCUGUAACCUUUUUUCACUCAUAUGUGCCAGCCUCUUGUGCCACAAGUUUGCUGAAGCAUCAUUUUCAACGGUAUUUACCUGGUUACCGUUCAAUUGCAUCCAUGUCUUAUACAUUGUGCAACAUAGUUUUCCCCUUGCAACUAUCAUAGAUUCUUUGAGAAGCUUUCAUUGUCCAUUCUUUUAUCGACUUUCAUAUCCCUCCUUAUCAAAGACAUUAAUAGCAAGCAAGUUCAUUCUCAUAUCUGGAAUUUGUUUGACAUCCCUCAAAGUCAACAUACAGCCUGUACUAGUUUGUACAACAAUAUCACCAAUCCCAACAAUCUACGACACACUCUUAUUUCCCAUUUUGGUACACCCAAAGUCUCUUACUUUGUAAGUUGUAAACAACUCUCUCUUAGGAACACAAUGAUAUGCCACUCCUAUGUCAACUAUCCACUCAACGUCGGGAUCACUAACAUGAUUACAAUCACCAUGUGUACAAAUCAAAGUAACUGAAUCACUAUCUAAAUUCACUGUUGGAAGAAGCUACAAUAAAAAAAUGGGUCUUUCAACAAUCUUCUUCCAGCUUUCAUCUUUCAUAUCUACUGGUUUAGUCGAAUCACCCAAUACUGGCUCAUACAAAUCUUUGCAGUAUAGAUGAUCCUCCAUCAUAGGCUUCCAAAUUGAAUAAUUCGAUGCUGUCAAUUUUAUCAUGGAACCUGUAUCACCCUCUAUGAUCUCAAACAUAAUUUACUUCUAUCUUGGGUUACUUUUGUAUCGAUGUCUCAAAAUAACCUUCGCUCUGAUACCACUUGUUGCGCCUAAAGCAAUAAUCAUAACAAUACAGAAGCAAUAGAUAAUAAUCAAUAAUCAAAUAUGUAGGAAAAAUAAAACACACCAAGAUUUACGUGGAAAACCCUCCAGUGUAGAGGGAAAAAAUCACGGGCUAUCAGAAAAAUCUUCACUAUCAAAUAAUAGUUAUACAAAGUUCUUCUAUAGCUAAAACUAGAGCUAAUCAACAACUAGAGAAACAAUUAGAGAAAUUUCACCAAAUAAGUGACUCAAAAAAUACACAUUGGAUUUGUUCCUAGAGAUCUUCAAACCCGAUCUUCAUCGUUCAGAAUGUAAAACUCUGAAUCAUAAACCUCUUGACAAGGUUCUAACUCAAUCAGACCACGGAUCGACUUCCGUUCAACCAACUCUCCCUUCUCUUUUUUCUCUCUUUACUUUUCUUGGCUUUUCUUCUUUCUCUGCUUGGUUUUCGACACACACCUAAAACAACCCCACCUUUUUUUUAUUAAGUAGCUAGGGCUCUGUGUAAAAUAAAAGAUCAAGGCACAUGGCCUUUACUUGGUCCAAAACCACUUACAUGAGACUAAACCCCAUUUUUCUAACAUUUUGAAUCUUUCAUAGUUGCUUUUAGCCUACCUAAACCUUGUAAUACCAAGGUCUCAGUCAUUCCCUUUAAGGUGGUUAUAUAACACUACCUUCCAAAUGAUUGGUCUCUUCUGAACUUUCCUAUAUUGUGGGUGGUAGAAACUUUAACUUUGAGGUGAGAAACAAACCUCACGACUCCCAACAAAGUUUGACUUGGCCUCUCCAGAAUCAUAUUGUAUGCGAAAUGUAUGUUUACACCAUGAAGUCAAUAGCUGAAGUGACAGUCCUUGAGUUGGUUCCCACUAUAAUCAGCAACUUUAUACUCCCCUUAACUGGAACUUGUUCAUUGUCAAACUCUAUCAGGUUGGUCGAGAAUGACCUCAGCUUGUUUUCAAGGAUCUUCAUUUUCCUCAAUGUAGAAUAGUAUAAAACUUCAGUUGAACUCCCAUUAUUGAAAAUGAUCCUUUUGACCUCAUAGUUAUAAACAACUGCUUGAUCACUAUAGCAUCUUCAUGAAAGAAUUGGGUACCUUCCAAACCCUCCAAGCUAAAACAGAUCGAUUUAUCCUUCAAGGUGUUUAGUUUUCUAGCUAUGGAUCCUACCAUCAUGACUAUUCCUUGGUCAAACUUCUUAUCGGCUGACAUCAAGGUUUUUCUAGUUAUAACAUUGAUAAUUCUUGCUAUAGGUCGAUUAUCAACUUUCUUUGUUUAUUCUACUUCAUAGGUUUGUCAUCCUCAUUACCGCAGUUAUUGCCAGCCCAACGGUUAUCAUAUUUUUUUUUUUGCUCUCUUUUUUCUCUCCUUGGAAAAUUUCCCUUAUUCUAUCUUGUCUUUUGUUGUCAAUGAAUCUGUCCAGCCAACCUUUCAUCAUUGAGGCUUUAAUCUUAUUUUCCAAAUCAAUGCAUUCCUCAGUCAUGCGAUCGUGGUCUCGAUAAAAAGCAUAUUUCUUGUUCAGAUCUCUUAUGUUGUUAUGUCUUAAUGGCUUAAGCCAUUUAAGCUAGGCGUCCUUUACAAGCUACAUCAAAAUCCUCUUUUAAGAGGUAUUUAAUAUUGUGUAAUUGUCAUAUCUUCCAUUUGGGCUCCUCGCCCUUGGGUAUCCCUCUAUGGAUUUUUUCCCUCUUGAAGGAUUGUUGACCUCUUUACCUCUUUUAUGUCUGAGGUAAAAGAAUGUUCCUUUCUCACCUUAGCAAUUUUUCAUUGUAAUUUUGACGUUGAUGAAAUUUUUUGUUAUCAAAAGCACGUUUGCCAGGGUUUUAGAGAGAGGGUUAGCUUGAAAUGGUAUUCCUUAUUAUCAAGCCCACUUCCUAGGGUUGCAACAGUAGCAGCUUGCUUUAAGUCAUUGACUUGAAUAGCUUCAGUGUUGAAACACGUUACAUAUUCCUUUAGGGAUUCCUUAUGUCAUUGGCAAAUGGACAAAAACUUAGGGUUAUCUUCUUCGCUCAUCAACUAUUGAUGAAAUGGAUUAAAGGGAAUGAUCGAGCUAUUUGAAAUUUGAGAUUGAUUUAGGCUUUAAGCUUAUAUACCAAGAUCAAGCUAUCCUUUUAAGGGUUGUAGUAGAGCCCUUAAACAUCAAUGGUUCACCGGCUUAUUGGAUUAGUAUGUUUGUCUUAAAAAGUUCAAGAUGAUCAAAAUGAUUAGUUGUGUCAUUGUAGAUCUAUAUUUGACAAUUUAAAUCUUUUGAGGGAAGAGCUCACUUAAUAUCUUUGGCAAAGAGGGAGGGUUUUAGAAACUUGAGCUCAUCACUGAAAGUAGAGGUCUUGUUUUUUACGUUCCUUUCUAUUGCUUUCAUCCAAGCUUUUAAGUCUUUGUUAGAUGGUUGUUUCGAGGUGGAUUACUUGGAUUUCAAAGUAAAUUGGGUCUUGGUAUUUGUCAGGUAAUAACUUUUUAGGGUUUUUUUUUUAAGGCAGAUGAGUCGACCUCAUUAUUGUCAUUGUUCACAGAGUUUAUUUUAUUUAGAAUUAUUAGAUCUUUAUUUACUAGUAUUAUAACUAUAAUUUUACAUUUUACAAUUAAAUAAAAUAUAACUUUUCUUAGUAUAUGUGGAUAAAGUUACUAAAACUUUUAUAUGGAUAGCUAGAUUUGAGCAUUAUCUUUUUAUUUUCAAGAAAAAAUUUUUUGCGACACUUCUUCUUUUGAAGUUACAAUCACAAUUAAUCAAGUAUUACAUCAUAUAAUCAACUUAACAAUAAACUAUUAUUAUCACUGAAUAAUUAACUAACAAAGUAGAACAUAACUAAACAAACAAACCCACAAACAGUAGGCCUUGAACUUAGACCUAUAAUGUUUGUGCCGAGUUCGAUGCAAAGGGAUUAAAACCUGAAAUCAUAACGUCAGAGGUCAAUUAGAAGCAAAAGUCGAAAGGAGUUUUGGCAUUUGCGCUCCAAUACUCAAGUAGUUCUUAAAAAAAAGAGAGAAAGAGAUAGGAAAGAAAAAAGUAGAUAAUAGAUGGGUUUCUCAGGAUUUGAUCCAUUUACUUGGAAUUGGAAUAGGGUAUUUAUGUUUGUAGAAGGGGGUGAUCGGGUUAGAAGAACCCAAUCGGGUGAACCAAUGGUAGGUUUGAACAACCCAUGUUGACUUGGCUAAUGUGCCUCCAAUGUUUUUAGGACUAACCAGUACAGUCACGUUCCUAUUAUGUGAGAUGAUGCCUUCACAAUGUUAAGGUCAACUCCAAGAAAUUAAAACUGGUGUGUCACGUCAGAUCGAAACAAAUGUCUAAAAAAGCCUUUUAGCCUUACUGACUCAUUAUUUGUAGUGAAUAGACCAGCUUACCCUUUGGACUUUCAGGUACCCUCAUCAUUUAGGAUUCUAGGCUUCCUUACUCUUUGCCACUAAAUUAAGGCUUCAUUAGCAAAAUUUUGUGAAACUUUAAUUGCCAUUUAUGUGUGUUUCUUUAUAAUUUAUUAUUAAGUAUUCAAUGACAAAAGUGUCUUUUUAUAAUUACUUAUUAAGCAUUCCAUGACGAAAAUGUCUCUUGAUGCAUGUAAUGCUAACUAUUUGAAAUUAAUAAGUAUAAUUUUAAAGAUAACAUUUCUAUUCAUAACCCCACAUUUACUCAACACACCUUAUUGCUUUUAACACCCUAAUUUUUUUCUCACCACGCCUUACACUAAAAUUCAAAUUUCCCAAAAAACCACACACUUAUCCUCCUUAUUUCUCACACCCCUCCCAUUUUCUAUUCCCUCAAACCUAAACUCUAAACAAAAAUAUCAACCUAAAUUCAAAAGAAAUCAAGGGAAAUUAUUGUUAGAAAGCUUCUAAUAAGAGGUAAAUCAUUUGUUUUUUGUGUUUGUUCAUUUGAAUUCAUGUUUAGUUUCAUAAAAUUUAAGGUUUAGUUUCAAAAAUAUUCAGUGUGAUUCAUAGGUUUAGAAAAUCCAUUACUAAAACCUCUUAAAAGAUUUCAGAAAUUCAUUUCCAAAAUCCUUUAAGAGGUUUCAAAAAUCCUUUACAAAUGUUUGAAAGCUAUAAAAACCCACAAUAAUUUCAUAUUCUAUGCAUAUGUGAUUGUAUAUUCAUUAGCUCUUACAUAUUUACUUUAAGAGCUAAUGUGUUGAUCAUUUAAUAUAUGUAAAAACAAGUAUAGCAUAAAUGAGAAGAAUUGGCAGUAGCAUAGGUCGAGAUGGUGGACGUGCUGCAAUUGAUAUUCAAAGGCAUCCAACUACCUCUAAGAGGAGAUUAUGAGUUGAUGACCAUAUAGAUAAACUAGUUGUGGAUUCGGCAUAAUAGUUUGUAGAGCAGCUCGAUGUUUAUCCUAUAAAAUUUGUUUUUUAUCCCUUAAAGCCAUUUCCUAGAGGGUCGAUAGAUACUUCUUUGCUUUAGAGCUUCAACACUCAUAUUGCAGCAUAAAUAUAGAAUGGCUUAGUAAUAAAUUAAAUAUUGAUGCUUACUUUUAUUAUUUACUAUACGUAAAAUUAAUAAUUAGUUUUUAUUUAUUGUUGUUAUAUGAGCGAGCUACUUUAAAAACAAUCAACAAUGCGGUAAAGUUACAAAAUUGGCCUCUGGAUGCUUCUUGGUAGUGUAUUCAUGAUUACGUUAUUAAGUCAAGAUUACUGCCAUUGAUCGAUAACACCUAUCAUAUGUCUAACAAUACAAUAGUUUCAGUAUUCGUUGAAAGGUGAUAGCCAAAGAUAAAUACCUUUCAACUACCAUUUGACAAGAAAACAAUCACGUUGGAUGAUGUUUAUAUGAUUCUCCACAUACCCAUUAAGAGGUAAUGAUAUUAGUUUAAAAGUUAAUGUGAGAUGAGGCAAAAGCAUUACUGGUGAGGUUACUUGGAAUAUUAGAGGUUGUGGUAGCCAAUGAGAUAAGGAUUUCUUGUAGUGCGUCUAUUAGGAUGCAAUGGCUACAAGAUACAUUUAAAGCUGUUAUUAAUAGACUUCUGAUCAAGAUAUGGACUAUGCUACCAAAGUUUUCUUGCUUUAUCUUUUAAGUUGCAUGUUUUUUGUUGACAAAAGUAAAGAUAAAGUAUUGGUAGGAUAUUUACAUUUAUUGAGUGACUUUAGCACCACCAAUACAAAUACUGAGGGGGUAGCUUGCCUGACAUAUUUAUAUAGGUAGCUUGGUAUAACAUACAGAGCUCACGUUCAUUAGAUUAUUGGGUAUGUUACACUUCUUUAAGUAUAUUAUUUACAUUAGUUUAAUGAUUUAUAUAUUAGUUAUAUUUGUUUAUAUUACAUUUCUUUAUGUAUCUAUAAUUUAUAAUUUAUGCAUGUUUAAUCUAAAUGCAGGCACUGAUUUAUAAACAUUUUCCCACACUUGAUCCAGUAGCCAACAAAGGAUAUUCUGAUCAUGAGCCUUGUUUUCGACAGUGGAAGCCUCGAAUGUAUAUUGAUUCAUUGUAGUAAUUGUAGGGAGUAGAUUAAUGCCUUUCUUUCAAUUCAGUGUGUUGAAACCCUUUUAGACACGUGAUAGCAUCACUCAUUACUGAAGAUUGCUUAUUUUUUUGGGUGUAUGAAAUACGGGGCUAUCGUUGAGCCAUAUCAUCUAAAAAUGGUGUUAUAAUAGUUCAAUUAUGUAUAGACCAUUCUUUCGACCCCUUUAGCUACAUGUUGAGUUGAUUAAGGUACAUCCUUCAGCAUGUACAAUAUUGCAUAUAACUCUUUGCAUUGAUUUUGGGAGUGAUGGAAUAUGCACGUUUUACUUUUCGAUCGUCAAGGUCAUCGAUCUGCUACACUAAGCAAGUUUUCAUUGAAUUAUGAUGCUUGGUAUACAUCAAUUUCUCAUUGGUCAUUCAAAAUUUGGUGCAUAGAUCAGGACUGCGAUCUGCUUUGGUUAGAAGGCUUACCUAGGAUAUGGUGAGUCAUUAACUUUAGUAGUAAUUACUUAUACAGUAUUAAUUACAUGUUUUAGAUAUUGAUUUUCCUUACUAAAUUUUUAUAGGUAAGCUCACAGGCACUAAUAGUUUUUCGUAAUGCUAUUUCUAGUGGUUUACAUCAGGGACUAGAUGUUUGAGAGGUGUAGAUUUAGAACAUAUCAUGUCUUGUCUGGGUUACAUACAUCAACUCCUAAACCAUGUUCGAUUCUAGUGCCCACUCCCUUAUAUACUUCUUACCUCCAACACUGAUGUAACACAACCAAUUUUCCUCACUUCCUAUCUCUAACAUCGAUGAUAGCAUUGUAUGAUUUUCCUUAUGCAUCUUAACAUCAAUGAGAGCACUGCUCGAUUCUUCACUCCUUUAUAUACUUUCUACCUCUAGCACUAAUGGCAACACAACCCAAUUAUCCUCGCUCCCUAUCUCUAACAUCGAUGAUAAAAUUGCAUGAUUCCCCAUGCAUCUUAACAUCAAUGAGAGCACUGCUCGAUUCCCUGUACUUCUCGCCUUCAGCAUUGACAGUAGCAAUGCCUGAUCUCAUAGCAUUAGAUUCAACACUUUUGCUCCAUCUGCUCCAUCAUAGCAUGUAUAUGUUCAAAUAAAAAGACCUAGGUUUAAGGAGUAUGACUUUUUUAUUGUAAACCUGAGACAUACAUUAAUUAUGUUAUUGUAAUUAUAUUUUUACAUGAUUAAUGAUUGCAAUAUUUUCUACAAGCACAUAGAUCGUACAACUAAUAAUAAUGACCAAAAGUCAAGAUAUCAUCCCACAAAGAUUAGCUAAAAAGUCCAGGCUAAGUACCUAUUAUCUCCACACUCUUUUUAUAGUCAAUUCAAUCACAAAGAGUAUACAAGAAUACACUAGCAUGAACAAGUACGAAAAACUAUAAGCAAAACACAAUAUUAACAAAGAACAUACCUAUAAUAUAUGAAGCAAGCAACUUGAAAAAUUAAUCAAAAUAGUAGCUAAAGUGCUAGAAUUAAAUCUAACAUGCUUUGAAUGUAAUUCUAAACUAAAAUAAUGAAAUUAGAAUACCCAAAUAAUAACCAAACAGUCGUUAAAAUGAAGUAAUUGAAAAUAACUAACUUGUAAUCGAAGCAACUGCCUUUAAACUUUCAAAUGAGAUUAGAUCUAGAAGCUUCCUAACAAUUUAUCCAAACAACUUCUAAAUUGAAAGAACAGUAAGUAAAAAAGACAAAAAAAAAAAAAAAAACAAUUGAAAGGCAAUUAGAGAAGAAAAUUUGCAAGAACAAUAAGAAAUUGAAACAGAAUUUUGAAAUAUAGAAACCAACCCAAUGUGCAGUAAAACUUAAAUUUACAAAUUUACAAAUCAAAUAAACAAAAACUGAGCUAACACAAGCUAGAUCUAUAAGAUUACUAUCAAAUUCCGCAAAGAAAUUGAAGAAAAUAAUGAAAAUCAAGCUCAAUAAACCAAAUCAAAACUGAGUGUAGUGAAGAACAAAACAGAGUAAUUAACAAAAAAUCAUUCAAACAAAAUUGAAAAACAUGGAAUUAAAGGCAAGCAAUUGAAUAUAAACAAGUAAACCUAUGAAUUAAGAAGUUCAAAAUGAGAAAAGAUUGGAUUGAUUUCCCAACUAGGAAAGGAAAGUCUUCAAGUGCUAUCCCUCACUCAAGCUUUAAGUCUACUGCUAGAUCUAACCAAACAUUUCUAGAUUUUUCUAGAAAUUUAUGGAAUGAAUUUGAGCAUGAAAGUUUUUAGAUUUAUAUAAGUAUGAAUUGAGAGUUCAUAGAAAAAAUUUGUAUCAAAACUUGCAAGAAUUAAAGGAGAUCUAAUCCAACAACCGAAACUGACUUAUGUGAAAAUUUAGCAAAAUAGAUUUGAGUAACCAACGAAUUUCAUGAAAUUGAACAAGAAAUCUUAAAGGAAAUGAAUUUUAUUGAUUGAAUCUUAAAUUUCAUGUAAAAUAAUGAUAAGAAAAGUAAAUUUUGUUGAAAAAUUAAAGUAAUUUUUUCUCAAACAGCCCUCUAAAAAAACAAGUAGGAAACUAUUUGAAAAGAAAAAAAAAGUAAAACGUAAAAAAAUAAAAAACUGUAAAAAUUAUGGAAAAGUCUCCCAAAUGGCCAAACAUCCCUCCUAUUUAUAGGCCAAGGAUAAGGUGUUCUAGCCAAUAAAAUUGCUGGAAAAUGCCAAUUAAGAUGCCACAUGCUCUAAAGUCUUUCAAGUAAUUCAUCUAGCUCUUUAUGCUUCCUUGUUUGCUUUUUUUUACUUCACUUCACUACAAGCUUCCUUCCUUUGAUCUUGUAAACUCCAAAAAGUUAAAAUUAUAUCAAUUAGAAGCCUCCAAAUUUUCAACUAAGUAGCUGCCCAUUUGCGUCUUCUUUGAAUCCAAGGAUUGAUGCCUAUCACACAUGAUCAUCAAUAAUGCAUCCAACGAUUUUGAUUGAUCCCUUUACACCCAUUUUAAGCACUAAUCGUAACUAAUUCUCUUCUUCAAAUUCUAGCUAAAUGAGGACCAUUUGUUCAUAAAAAAAUUUUGGAAAGUUCUAGCUCUAAAUGUGGCUUUAAAGCCACACCAACGCAAUCUUCACCAAACUAGCACAUGCAAAAUAUUACUACAAGGGUAACAAAGAACUAGUGAGCUAAAAAGGAUAUUUUUUCAAUAAAACAUGAAAAUUAAGGCUUGAAAUAAAGUUCAAUUAAGCUCAAGUAAGCUAAGAAAUCAUGAAGGAAAAAGUAUGAAAAAUCUCCCAAGCAUGGCAUUGGAAGCAUAUGUAUACUAGUUUUAGCCUAAUGAGACUUUUUACACUAAAAUGCACCCAAAAUGAGUCCAAAAAGCUUUCUUUUUCCUCUUUUCUCAUAUUUUUACCUAUACAUUGAAUAUUUAAGCAAUUAGGAGUAUUUUUGCCAAAUUUUUCAAGAAACAAGCAAAUAUUCACUAAAAAAUGCUCUAAAAAUGUAUGAUAAAUCAUUAAAAUUUUAGUGCAAUCAAUUACAAACAUUUGUUAUUGUUAUUUUAUAUGCACUAAAAAAGUUGCUAAAUAUAAUAUGGAUUAAAGAACCUACAAAAUAUAAAAAUAUAAGCCAUCAAAUAAAACAUAUUAAUAAAUACAAAAUAUCCAUCUAAAGUCAUUAAUCAAUUUAAAUUGUUUCUUAGGUGGCUACAUUAAAGGUUUUGCUAAACAAUAACUUAAAAUUCUCUAUAAAUGGUACACAUGGAGCCUCUUAUCCUCGAGCACACUCAUAUCCUUAGUUGCAUGCAAUCAGAGGUAUUGUGAGAACAACUUCAUGAAAACUUACACAAAAUAGAUAAAUAUGAUAAGUAUCAAUUAUAAUGAGAUUAUAAAUAACAAAAAUGAUAAAUAUCAAAUCUAAUAAAUGGUAUCUACACAAAAUGAUAAUCAUUUACAAAUCCAAUCAUAGUAACUCUAUAUUCUAAUGAUGUAGGUAGUAUAGAUCUAAUCGAGAGAUAGGUUAAGCACUGUCUCAAGCUAAUGUGGACUAGUUCAACAUUAUAUCAUGAGGUAAUCAAAUGAUCCAUAUCAGGUAAGGUCAUUCACUUUUCGUAUGAGGCAUAAAUGUUGAAACAUGAUAAGGUUUCUAUCAAUUUCUAAACACACUUCAUGGAUUCAUACAAUGUGACAUACUCAUCUCGAUAUUGAAUCAGCUCAUUAAUUAAAUCUUGUCACACUUGUACCUUACCAUCUAUACCCAAUCCAUGCAAUCUAGCAAUAAAACAAAAAUCACAAUGUCCAUCUACUUUAAUAUCAAUGAUGGUCUGUAUAUAUGGAUGUAACUCGACUGAAAAAUUAAAUAAAUAUCAUAUUUUUUUGUUUACUAUGUGAACACUAAACAAGAAGUUUAUCGAUAUGUGUCGUCACUUUUACUGAAUUCAUAGUGCUUGGCGGUGAUGUACUAUUAUGUACAGAUAACAAAAUCUCCUAUUGUGAUGGGUCACAUUACAUAGAUUUGUUUGCUUUAUUUGCUCUGCAAUCUUUUAUCUUAGCAAUCUCUAGUUGUGGAAUCAAGAUAGUUAUUGUCAAAUUGUCUAGUUCUCAUAAGGUUCUUUUCAUGACUAAUUUACCAAACUCAUCACACUUGUCAAAGCGUUUUGUGAUUUACUCAACCUCGGAUUUAAUGAUCAAUUCUUCAUAUAUGUUAUCCACUUGGCUCUUCAUUAAAUCCAAUUAUUUCCAAUAAGGAUGUACUUUAAUAAAAAAAUUAGACUUCCCACCCUUAUGUGUUCUAUAAUUUCACAUUCAUAAAGUAAUCUAUGUGUGCAUCUGAUAAUGCAACCACAACAUUGCUUGUUAAUCCUAACUUGAUUUGCUCACUUUGCCUCCAUGAUUAUCAUAUCGAGUGAGCUUUUAGAUAUCAAAUCUCAUAUGUCUUUAAACAAAGAAGGCUUAAAAGUAUGCUCAACAACUAUAAGACUUUUCUAAAAUAAAACCUUUAUCUUUCUAUGUUGUAGGUCAAUAAGGUUGUUAAUUAUAAUCUAUGAUAAUUUAAAAUCUCAUUGAGAUGAUCCAAAAUGUCUUUUCAAUUUCGAAUGUGCAUUCUUAUCUCUAAACAAAUCUAUAAAGGUAUAUUACAAUGAAUGUCUUAUUAUGAAUCAUGCAAAUCUAAACAAUCUUAAUAAAAAGCUAAACCAAAUCAUACCUAUUUGUUGAAACAUUUUCAAAGUGCAUUACUUUAUCCAUCCAAGCAGCAACAAAUUUCUCAUUAUGUUUUGUCAAUCAUUGCUCCUCCAUAUACAUGAUUGCAACUAGAUAAGUUUGGUUAUCAAUCUCUAAAUAACUUAGAUGUCUUUCGUACUUAUCAUGGGUAGAAGAAAACACAAGGACACUAUAACUUGACAUGGAUGCCUCCCACUUAUCUUUUCUCUCAAAAAAUAUUUUACAAUUUGCAAACAUGUUUCUUGAUAUAUGAAAUUUGCAUAGAAGAUUUGUUAUGUUAGGAAACAUAGCCUAUAUUGCAUUCAUCAAUGCCAAAUCUCUAUUAGUAACAAUGACAUUAGGAAAUAUAAUAGGAAGCAUUAAACCUUUUAAUGUCAACAAUGCCCAACUGUAGUUGUCAUAAUGCUUAGCCUUCAUGUAUACAAAUGUAAUAGAUAAUAUCAUCUCAAUGAAGUAACACCAAUAAUCUCACACAAAUGGAAAUGAUAUCUAUUUGUUUAUAGAUGCAAUCUAUAAUAACGAUACUUGAAAAAACAUGCAACAAAUCUAUACCAGUAGGGUACACCUAGAACAAGUCUCUCACACAGUCACUUGAAUCGUUUGUCCUAUGUCACUCCACGUAUUUACAAUCAAACAACUUUUUUCAUUAGUUGUUACAUUUAUGAUCUAGCAGCUUUCUCAAAAUAUUUGUUUAUUUGACAUUCAUUAUAUAUAGUAUUUAUAAUGUUGACAUUCUUCUCAUCAUGUUGUUUUAUGGUCAACAAUAUGUUUUUAGGUUUGACCAUACAGUUUGACAUACCAGCCACUAUUGUUUUUCUUUUGUCAAACAACCGACCCACAAAUGAAUGUUUCUCUAAUUGUUUUGCUGGUAGAUAAUUGUGAAACCCAUAAACUACCCUCACACCCAUUCAUCAUUGCUUGCCAAUUUAAACCCAUAUAACUAAAAUGGGAAUCACACCUUUUUGUCUCUGUUCCCUUACACAGUAUUUCUUUUACAUUUGUCAUAUUCUUUUGCUGCUUAUAUUUUUCACUACAUUCAUAUAUGAAUCUGAUUCUAGGUUUUCUACCUAGACAUCCUAAAUUAGAGUUUUUAAACACCAUUACAAAACUAAUAUCUUUUCCUACCUGUCUUACUAAAGAAAUAAAUGCUUCCCUGCUACAAAUUAACAACUACACAAUAAUUUGAAUUGUCAUAUUUUGCAUUUACAAAAACUAACAUUAAAAAAGCAAUCUUUAUGCCUUCCAAAGUUUACUUUAAAAAUAUAAUAUUAUCUUUUCAGUAAUAAAUAAAAAACUACAAUCAUAUUUGGCAUCAAAAUUCUUUGGUGAUUUAUUCCACUUUAUCAGUGUAAUUUUCAAAUUAUUCUGAAUGUUAAUUAAAUAAAAAUAAAAAAAUAUUGCUUCCAGAAAUGCAUUUUUUGUUCAUUGUAGUGUUUUUCAAAAAUACAUUUUUAGUACAUUGAAAAGUUUUCAAAUAUUUAUUUCUAGUAAAUUUCCCAUGUUUUCGAAAAUUAUUUUUUGUUAAAUUUCUUGCAUUUCUAAAAAUAAAUUUCCCAAAGCUACUAAAUAAUCAUAGAUACCAUAAUGUUUAGAUCCGUAGACCUAUCGCUAGACAUUGACUUGAAGAGUCGUCACCAAUCUUUUUUGUUUAGGUGCAAUUGGUUACCUAACUGAAUUUAUCUUUUUUAAAGAGAAUUCCUAAGUUCGAAAAAAGUAAAUUCAAUGUCUGUGAAAUCAGAACUAGGUCUAAGAGUACAAUUAUGUGUGAGGAAAGUUAUAACACCUCACAAUGCCCAUCGAAAGAUGGUACCAGCUCAAUUUCAUGUUAUCCGAUAAGCCUUAAAAAUUUUACCAAGUAAUUAAUUAUUAAAAAUUAUUCUUAAUUAACUCCAAUACUUUUGACAAAAAAUUUAAAAAAUUUUCUCACCUCAAGAGUAUGUAAGAAAACUAUUGUUUCUCUUGCAGAAGUUCUAUUGUCGAAUUAUUUAACAUUUAAAAAUUUUUCAAAGAAAGAAAGAAAAAAAAAGAAAAAAAUAAUGAUUUGACUUUUGAUAUAAAUAUUUUUCUUUUUAUUUUAUAUAAAAAAAUCAUUGCUUUUAUACAAGAAAAAUUGAAACUUUCAACUUUUCCUAAAAAAUAUUUUUCUUGAUAAUUUUUAUUUUUUAAGGAAAAUUGGUACUUCCAACUUUUCUUCAAAAUAUUUUUUUUAAAAUUUGAUUUUCAAGAAAAAUUGAUACUUUUAACUUUUUCUCAAAAAUAUUUUUUUUAUUUUAUUUUUUAUUUUUAAGAAAAAUUCAUCUUUCAACCUUUCCUCAAAAAUAUAUUUUUUUAAAUUUUAUUUUUAAAAAAAUUAUAGAAAAAUGAAGAAAAAUAAUUUCAAUUUAAUCAAUAAAUAAAUAGACAGAAAUAAUAAUAAUAAUAAUAAAAUGAAAAAAAAUUUUAACGCAGCUCGAUUCAGCGACUAAAACGACUUGGCUUGAGGCACAAAAGUGGCAAAAAGGCGUGGCUCAGGUGGUUCGGCUUGGCUUGACUUGAAGAUCGGCUGGAACAUAGGUCAGCCAGAAACGGGUUAAUCCGAAUCAAAAUGCGCGGAUCUUGGGAUCUCUUAAUGCCCAAAACGACGUCGUUUUGUGAUAGUAUAAAAAGCUGAAUUUGAUCUUUCUCUUCCUUUCAUUUUCUCUCCCUCUCUCUCUAAGAUUCAAGACCGCAGGUUGAAUCCUUUAUCAAAUUCUGGGAUUUUCGUCGGAAUCUGGGUAGGGUCACUGGAUUCUAGCUGAAAGUUCAUCGAUUUUUAGGAAAAUAAAGGCCAAAAACUGGAAAACUUCACUAGAAACUUUUAAUAUUGCUGGAAAAAUCGUCGAAAAAUUUAAAUCUUGCCAAAAAAUUUAUUGAAAUCUGAAAUUUUUUCAGAAAUUUUUCAAAAAAAAAAACAACAAAUUUCAAAAAUUUUUCUAAAAAUUAUAGACCUACCUUUAAACUUUUUCACUUUUGUUUUCUUUCUGUGUGCUUUCUGUGUGUUUUUGUUUUUGCUUCUGAUUAAUAGGUAUUUAUAGGAUGCUAGAUUCAUUCCCAUUUUUAUUAUUUUUAAAUAUUCUGAUUAUUAUCUCCUAACCGAAAAUUAAUCUGAAAAAGAAAAGAAAGAGAAAAAAAAUUUUAGAAGAAAAACAAAUCAAUAAAUCAAUAAAUUACAUAAAAAUAAUAAUCAAUUAAACCUAAAUCUUUGGGUUUGACUAACCCCAUUUAGACCAAGCCCAAUUGAUUCGAGCUUAGAUCAAAUUAGGUGUCUACACUGGAUAUGUAUAUCCGGUUACAUAAAGAUUCUUUUAGAAAUUCAUUUAUGAUAACUCAUAUUUGAACACAUAUAGAUACUUUCGGAAAUAAAUUUUUAUAAACUCAAUAUAUUUUUUAGAAAAAGUAAUUUUAGAAAGUGUGAAUUUAGAGAUAAAAUCAACUUACUUAAUUGUCAUCUCCCAAAUCUUCAUUACUUAGUUGUUUCUCUUAAGUUCACUUUUCAAUUUGACAGUAUAUAAGAUAUUACAAAUUUUGAUUGUGAAUUUUGAUAACAAUAUAUCUUGUUGCUAGGAAGAACGAGAGAAGAAAGUUGUUAGAAAGAAAAGAAGAAGAGAAGAGAAAAGGAGAAGAAGAAAAGGGUGCAUGAAAGAUAAAAAAGUAAUUUAUUAAUGGAUAUUUAAAUAAUUUUAUUAAAGAUUAAGUCUAUAAUAUAAGUUUUAGAGUGUAGUGAGUAAAUUUUGGGGUGCAAAUAGAACCUUUCUUUUAAAUAUUAGAUUUUUGGGCAUUUAAAAUGACACCAAGGUAAUAGAUAUACGCUAGAAAGGAGUGUGGGUCAUUUUAGGUGUAGAUUUUCUAAGGAUUGGGUUGCUAGAAAGACAUGUGGGUCAUUUUUCAAUAACAAUGUACUAGGUGUAUAUUUUUCCAAGGACUGGGUUAUUGAUCGAGUGAUUCCGGCUCAAGUCAAGUUUGGCCUUGGACAAGCUUUUUUAAGCUUAGGUUUGGUCCAACCAAAGUUGAAAUAUUAUUUAAUUAAUAAAAUUAUUUUAUAUAAUUUUAGUUAUAAAAUAUACUUAAAAUAAUAAUAUAUUAAUAUAUUUUUAAAAAAAAUUUAAAAAAAAAUUUUAUUUUUUUUUAGCAAAAAUAUCAUGAGUGAGGCCAACUGGGCUCAUGAACAAGUCUAGUUAGGCUUUGCAGGCAAAUUCCAGACAUUUUAAACAUUGAAAUGUUGAAACUUUAAAAUGAUAUCAAUUAAACAUGGAAAGUGUUAUACUUUUGGUUGUAUAAAAUGCCACUAAUAUAAAUUAUCUAUGUUUCUCAUGGUUUACUAUGCCUUUAAAAUUUGAAAAUACAACAACUUAGUUGAAGUGUAAUUUGUUUUGAGUUUAGCGGCAUCAGAUAAAGAUAUGAGGAAAAUUUUUGGUUAAAUGCCAAUUCUCUCGACAAGGUCAGUUUCAGUGGUCAUGCGUGCAGCGUUUUAGAGUUGUGCCAGUGGAAGUGAGCUUCACGAACGACAUUUUAAGGCGUCUUACAGUGGUCAUAUAUCAACAUAUAACUAUCAAUCUUCCUUUAAAAACUUUUCAUAUUAUAUUCUAUUCCUAAAUUAUAUGCUUUUGCAACAUAAAAAGUUCCGAAGGUUAUUGAAAACUGGAAAAUAAUUAAAGCUUUACAAUAAAUUAAGCCCAUGCUUUAUUCGUAUCUAAUAAUGAUUUUAAGACCAAGAAAAAUUACUUAGUGAACUAAAUAAGAAAAAUAAAAAUAAAAAUUUUAAAAUAAAAAUUAUGGUAUUAAGAAGAAAACCUAUAGUGAUCUUAAAAUCGAGCUGGUAAUAGCGUACAAAACAAAUUUUUUUACAAAUGCACUCUAUAUUUCAAUUUUAAUUGAAUCAAUAUAAUUCGGUUAAUUAAUUAGUAGACCAUUAAAUUAAUUUUGAUCGGCUAUCAAACAUGAUUUUAAAAGAAUUUUGAUUUUCGAUUAAUUUAAUUCAAGAAUUGAAUUAACCUAAGUUUUAACUAAAAUAUAAAAAAAAAAAACCAAAACUAAAACUAAAAAGAUAUGAAGUAAACCAUUUCAUUUUAUAAACUGUUAGAGUUUUUAAUUUAAUGGUAUUAAAUAUUUUAUUGGACAAUUUUAUUUAGUUUUUUUCAAAUAUAAAAAAUUAGGGUUUAAAAUAUAAUUUAACUUAAAUAUAUUUUAUUAUUUUAUCAAUUCUAAAAUUAACCAAAUUAAAUUUGAUUUAUUAGAUUUUCAAAACUAAUAAAUUCAAUACAAUUAAUAAAAAUAAAAUAGCAUAUAAUUUUAUUUUGAUUCACUCAAUUCAAAAUUAAUCAAAUUAAUGUAAUAAACAUCCUUUGCCACUCUUAACCCUAACCCUAAGCAUGUAUAAAGUAUAUAAAUUGAGAGUGCAUUAAAUAUAAACUCUUUAUUUUUAGAAUUUUAAAAUUUAAUAUUAAUUUUUUAAUGAAUUUUCUUUGAUAUCUACACACUGACAUUAGAUGAAAUAUAAACUGUUAAUAUUUAUAUAAGGUAGGGUAGGUACUAGGUAGUGCAGAGAUACGUGGAUGGCACCAAAGACCAAACCCUAAUUCCAUUGAAUUGGAAGGAAAGAGUGAGACAGGGAAUUGGGAUCAAUCUCACACCGCCCAUUAAAUUGACAAACAAAAAGAUUCCUAGUGGGAAGGGCACGUUAGUGAGUUCAGGGGCCUUAAAUAACGACUAUGAAAUGGAAACGUUAUUGCCAAAAAUGGUGGGAAUUUGCACCUGCAAAGUUCUUUGAUUUAGCUAAAACUACAACGUCCUCUCUGCCCUUUCGGCAAAUUACAAUUCCAACGCCUUUUUCCAACUCAUAGACUAAGACUCCCCCAUCUCUCUCUUCCUUUUGUAUUCAUUCUAGCUCAUUAUCUCCCCCUCUCUAGAUUGACAAACAAAGCAAAGGGCUAUCAGCCGAUCUACAGACCAAACAUUUUUCCUUCUUUGGAAUUCGUAAUUUUCCGAAAGCUGAAGUGACCGGAAGUGUGACCAAAGCUCAGGUCUGUCCGUGGGCUUUUUCAUCUUCUUUGAAAGAAGAUCUUGUCAAAAUAUGUAUAUACUUACUUUUUAUAACAAUAUCUGUUUACCUAAAUGCAUGGUUUUUUUGCUUUUCUUAAGAGGUUUAUAUAUCUUCUUAGAUCUGUUGUCAGAGCAAGGGAAUCUUCUAUAUACAUCCUUGCAUGAAGAAGAUCUCUUUUCCAUUUCUUUCCCUUCUUUUCUCAGCAUAAUCACAGAUAAUUCUUUGGUUUCCAACAAAAUACAUGAUGGGUUUUCUUCGUUUGUCAUCCCUACUUGAUCUUCAGACGAUGCUUUUUCUUCUUUUCCUUGAUUGCCACUGCUUUAAUACCUUUGUCAUACCUAUAUUUUAUGGUUUGAAUUUCGGACAAUCUGUACAGAUCUGUUCAAAUCUCUUCAACUUCCGUUCCUUUAGAGUUGAUAUCCUUUUCUUUUCAAGUUUUUAUCAGCCAAAAAUAAUAGAAGUUCUCUAUCCUUUUCUAGGUCUCCGUUGAGGGCCUAUGCUAGACUAGUGCGACCGUAUACGCACGCACAUUCAUACUGGAGAAAGAGGAUGGGUCUAUAUUUAUGAAAUAAAUAAAACCCAAAAAUCUUGUUCAUUUUUACUAGCUAAAGAUUGAAAGUUUCUCGGAAGAUAGGGUAUGGGAAUGACUAACUUUUUCUCCAUGCCCUUCUUAUUAAUUGAUGCAGGUUUUCUCAGUGGUUUUGCAACCUUUAUUACUUCUACUUAAGUCAGAAACAAUCCAUUGUUUUGGAUCUGCUUCUACUCACAAUUUUCUUCUUAGCUUUUCAUCACUUUUUUUACUGAUCACAUCAGAUAUUUCCAAACCCAAAAAACCAAAAGAAAAGAAAGAAAAGAAGCCUUAGGAGACAAAUUCUAAGUCGCCAGGGUGUAUUGCUGCAGGUUGUUUAGGAAGAAUUCUGUGAACUGAAAAAGGGUUAAUUUGGUGAAGAUGGGAAGAGGAAAGAUCGAGAUCAAGAGGAUUGAGAACACCACCAAUCGUCAGGUUACCUUUUGCAAGCGCAGGAAUGGGCUGCUCAAGAAAGCUUACGAACUUUCAGUCCUUUGUGAUGCGGAAGUGGCUCUCAUUGUCUUCUCCAGCCGUGGCCGCCUCUAUGAGUACUCCAAUAACAAGUAAUUAACUUCUCUUUUCUUCCUCAAAUCUCAAUCUCACCUCAUGCUAUUUUUGGUUGUGAAUUGUGAUUGCUUUGCUUGGGAUCAAUUUCUGGCUUGUGGGUUCAUUUUUUUAUGUCAUUUAUUUUAAUCACAUGCAUGGUUUGAACAUUCUUCACAAGAAAAAGCUUUGACAAAAAACAAGAAUGGGACAAUGUAUUUUCUGAGCUGAAAACAGAAAGUGAGCAGACAAUGGAAGUCAGCCAAAUCUUAAGUUAAGUGGCUGUGAUUUUUAGCUAUUUUGGAGAGUGUCAGAAGCUAUUAUCAUAUAUAUAUAUAUUAUGAUAUUAUAUUAUAUGUUUUAUGAAUUUAGAUAUUUAAUUUCAUAUCUCUUGCAUGUAUAGCUGAGUUUCUUUUCUCUGUUAAAAUUACCAUUUCUUAUUUCUGGAAAUACGGGCAAAGUCUAGUCGAUCGGCAGCUAUCUUAAAAACGUUUAUAAUGACUUAUCCUAAAAAAUAAAAUAAAAAAUUUUAUAAUCUAAUUAAAUAUCUUUAGAUUUGUUAUCCUUAAUACUUAUAUUAGAGAAUGCAUGAAGUUCUCCUAUAUCAACUCCAUAUAACUGAAAGUUAAUACUUUUUUUCUGUCAAAAUAAAAUUUUAUUAAAUAGUAAUCAAAAGGUUACAAAUAUGGAACCUAAAGGUUUGAAAGACCUACAAAACACUAAAAAUCUAAUAUGAUAUUAUAUCAAUAGUAAAUAAGAUAUCCAAGAGCAGUGACAACUGAUAACAACAAAAGUUCAAACAUUCACAAAAACCCAAAAUCGAAUAAUCAAUAAAACUAAUCUAAAAACCCAGAUUACUAAGGAACUUGAACUUGCACAAAAAAUAAAUGCACCUUUCUCUUUAUCCUGGACCAAAGCACAACCAGAUCUUGAGAAUUCAAUCAGGAAGGCUCCAACAAAGCAACAUGUCAGCAACUCCUUCCAUCAAUUGCUAGCAAAGAUAUCAGAAACAUCGAAUGACCCAUCAGAAUACUUUACUAGAAAAAAGAAACUAAGAUUCCAAUUAAACACCAAUCAAACGGACUCCGAACUACUUUCCUCAUGAGCUUGCUUUUCUUUCUUCAUUUUCAUAAAUUUUUUUUAAUUACGAUAUCUUCCUCUUGAUAAGAAAGACCAAUCUUUUUUUCCAAUUCUGACGGCUUCAUCAUACAAAGUACUUAUAUUUUGGAUUAAUAAAGAUAGAAAGUAAAUAUAAUUUUAGGUCCAAUGAUAAAUGCAGAGUCUCUCGGAUCAUGCUAUCUAAUAAACUUUAAUGAACUUUAUAUUGUUCAUGUGUCUUAGCACAAAUGAACUCCAUAAUUUUCAAGUGUCUUAGCACAAAGGUCAUAUCUCCGCCUUCAUUUUUGUCUUGCAACUGUAUUAAGGUUUCUUAGGUUUUUUUAUCACUACCAAUUUUAUAGAAAUUCACAACAACAAAAUUAUCGUUAUAUAAAACAUAAAAAAUCCAAAUAAGUUAUAACAAUUAAAAAUAUUAAAAAUAUAAUAAUAUUUUACAACGAUAUUUUUAUUCGUUACAAUUGUAGUUGCUAAUAAUACAUUUUCUAAUAGAGUUCUUUGUUUUCCUUUCAAAGUCCGUAUGCUUUUUUUUUCUUCUUCUUCCUUCAUGUUUGAAGACUUCUAGCCGAUGCCAAGUGCCUUGAGCUUUUGGCUUUUACACAAUUGAAAUUGUGUUUCACUUUCCACCAAAAUUGUCAAGUCUCUAUUACAGAAACAGUGACCCUACGACUUGGGAGGUCAAUAAUGGGUUAAAGGAUCUAUGGAUUAAGUAUACAUAAUGUUAUAAGUGAAAAAAUCUUUGGUUUUCUUAGUAGGUUUCGAAUUAUCAAAUGAAUUAUUGUGAACACUUAAUUUUAUCUGAUGUCAUUUGAAAUUGUUUUGAAUCCCAAUUGUGGUGAGCUAUGAACUAGUCCAUUCUUUGGUGGAGUUGUUUAUGAUUUGGACCUCUUAAAUCAAAGGCUUAAUGAGUUAAUUUUGGUUUAAUUUAUGGUAUUGGAUUUUAAAAAAUAAAUCAAAUAAAUAAAUUUAAAAUUUUAGGAAUAAAUCUCAAGUGAAGGAGAGUUUUUGGACUUGAAAUGGCUCCGGCCGAUGGUGUUUGGCAACGACUUGUGAAGGCUGACGUGGUGCUCGCUAGUUGAAAUCUGAAAAACUAGGUUGAAAGAUCAUUUGAGAUGUAAAAGAGAGGGAGGAUAAUAAAAUUAGAGAGAGAAGCUAGCCAAAAGAAAUGAAAGAAGAAGACAAAAUUUAGCUUUUAUAGCAGCAUGAAACACUGUAUUUCAAUUAAGUAAAGAAGAUCCAUGCCUCAACCCGGAUUUCGAUGCGGAGCUCGCGCUUGAAACCCAAACCUGUAAAUUCAACACUAAGCCGCACCACUGAGUCAAGCCAAGAUUUUAGCCUUUCCAAGCUAGUUUCUGUUCCUUCAACUGAGCCAUUUUCUAAUCCUCGUCAAGCCGAU